rnacentral:lncRNA from 1 species
UAUAACGACGCGACCUGCUAACAAUAAUAACUCAUUGGGCUCAACCCGCCGGUCCAAAAUACUUAAGCCCGGUUAUUAUUACUAGCGUGAGGCCUCAUAUAUUCUAAUCAGAAUUAUUUUUCCAUAUGAUGUGGGACUAUUGGGGCAUUACAAACUUCCCCUGUUUAGACAAUGACGUUCUUGUCAAAUCCAAACCCAGAUCACAGACAUACAGAUCAGAAUUACCAGGCGAUGUGAGAUUUUAGAGGUGGCUCUUAUGGAUUUAAGAGGUGGCUCUUACCAAACAUGUUGGUGUAGCACUUUGCCCCGCAUAGCACUUAGCUUUCACAUUUUCGGCUGGUUUUCAGCUCUGAUACCAAUUAUAACAACCAGACUAGCUAGCAAUAAUAACUCAUUGGGUCCAACCACCAACCUAAAAUGCUUAAGCCCGGCUAUUAUUACUAGCGUGAGGCCUCAUAUAUUCUAAUCAGAAUUAUUUUUCUAUCCGGUGUGGGACUAUCGGGGCAUUACAGUAGUAGUUGUUGCCUUUACCCUGAAAACCCUAAUUUCAUGCAAUUCAUGGCCCACAAGAAUGUAUUCUAGCUUAUCCACUAGUUCCAUCAAUCACUUUUCAGUGCACCAAAACAUGAUAAUAAUCAAGCGCAACUCAGAAAGGAUGUCUCCAACUGCUACAACUCUACACACAGAUACAUACAAAGCCCUAGUUUCAUGCAAUUAAUGGCCCACCAUAAUGCAUACAGCUUAUCCAUUGGUUCCAUCAAUCACUUUUUUAGUGCACCAAAACAUGAUAAUAAUCAAGCGCAACUCAAAGGAUGAGUCUCCAGCUGCUACAACUCCAUACACAGAUACAUAGGUACCAGCAAAAUCGGAAUUUUCACACAUGCCCUUUCAGACCUUAAUUUUUUUUUACGUAAAAACAUAUAGAACUUAUCUAAACUAUGGGCCAUUUUAAUUUAGCUGCUCAACCUUUUAAAUUUUUUAUUUUACUACUCAACCUUUCAAUUUGUUUGAUUUGAACUUGUAAAGAUAAACGACACAUUCAAAUUUUGAAGUCAAGUGUUGUUGACUGACUCAAAUCAAACAAAUUGAAAAGUUGGAUAGUAAAAUCAAAAUUUUGAAAAGUUGGGUAGCCGAUUCAAAAUGGUCCAUAGUUCAGAUAAGUUUUGUGCAUUUUUACCUUUUCUUUAUAUAUAUGCCCUUGCACUUAACAGAAGAUGCCCCUCUUUAAGAAACUUCUAAGACAAAAGUAACUCCACCAAUGAAUCAUAAAUUCCCAACUAGGUGGUGUAAGUAGAUUAUAUAUAUAUAAGCCCAUUUAAAUGUCAUGGACAAUUGUGUUUUAUCAAUAUAGAUGAAGUUGCCUGUCUCAUAAAAAUGCGAACAUGGGCGCUGCAGAAGCACAUUUACUGCAGCUAACACAUAACAUUCGUAUAAUAGAAAAAGUUUCUUUUUAUUACCAGCUUGUUGAUGAUACAAUAAGUGACAGUCAAAGCCGAGUCGUAUUACUAACUCACAAAGGUUCUAUGUUGCUGGCUUUUCUCAGGAUAAUGACGGCAGAACCUUCCCAGUGCAAGUCCCAAAUCCUAUGUUGUAAUCUUCGCCCUGCAAAAUAUUGCAUACAGAUCAACUUUGGCCAUUAAAAUAAGCAAAAGCUUUAGAAUUAUUAACCCAUAAACUGAUAUAGUAAUGUUCACAUAAGAAAUGCUACUUCUGCACCCAAAAGCGGGGCGUAAAUUGUUCACCCACUCAUCCAAGGGUUUAGACACCCUUUUUGGAUUUUUAAUAUUAAAAGAAAAGAUUGAUAAGACUAGUGUGGAAGUAUUGACCCUUGAAUGGUUAGGGAGUAAGAUUUACGCCCAGUUUUUGGGUAGCAUUGCCCUAUUUAUAUAUCAUCUACAGAAGAAUAUAGACUUCAAACAAGCUAUUUACACAAAUAAAUAUUUAUAUAGUAAUACUAUACAAAGCAAAGAUAAGGAAAAAGGGGAAACAAAGAAAAGGAUAAACUUCAAAGAAGGGCCGAGUUCGGAUAAGGUUUUAAACUUUAAUCUACAUGUUUGGGUCACGUUUGAUUUAAACUUGACACAAAAUCUGUUAGACUUCAGAUUUAAAUUGGAUUUUGGGUUAAGUUUAAAUCGAAGUCCAACCCAGGUACGAUCAAAAACCAAGCUCAAACUCCCACGGAGAUGACAAAAAGAUCAUUAUGGAAAAAUGGAAUGGCAAGCUCAAAGCACAAAAGUGAUACAUUAAAGUACAGGGCGCUGAUUUGAAAUGCACCAUAGCACAGGGCCAUAUUAUAGUUUACCUUAAAGAAAAAGUGGCCACCUUUGCGUCACACAAAACUAAUUGUAACUAACAGAUAAUAUUGGAGGUUGGCAUUUCAUUGUAGCACCAACAAAACAGGUAUUUGGAAAACACGUUGUAAUUACAGUGCAUAUUAUACAUAUUCUGCCUGAGUUGUCAAAAUGAUCAAAUGAUUUGCAAUUUAUGCAGCCAAAAUUAGCUUCUAUGAGCAAUAUAUGACAGCCUGAACAAUUAAACUACAGGUACUCUAACGAUAAUCAAUCACCCAAUAAUAAAUAAAAUCACGACAAGAUAUGGCAGCGAAACGCCUAUUGCUCAACUUGACUCAAACUGAAAUUGAAACUUUUCGAUUUUGAACUUCCCAAAAAGUCAUCUCAACAAAAUAAAGUUUGGCGACAUCAAACCUUGGAACAAGCAGUAAAGGUGACUUCAUCUCCAUCUUCUAAAUAUUUACGGCUUGAGCUCCCUAAUGUAAGCGAAUUUUUUGCAUUCCAUGUCAGCUCUAGCAAGCAUCCCAAAGAUUCUGGUUCCUGAAAUAACACUGAUGUUAGAAUAAACCCAAUCAAGCAACCACCAAAAAAAAAAAGUUCUAAUUACAAAAUUACAAAAUUUUUAAGAAAAGGAAAGAGGAUAUCUUGAUGAGAGAGAUAUUUUUACUACUAUCACAAAACAAAUUAUUUCUUACAGGUCCGCUGAUGGUUCCGGUUCCAAGCAGAUCACCCGGUCUUAAGUUGCACCCAUUAACAGUAUGAUGGGCAAGUUGUUGUGUCACUGUCCAAUACCUGAAAAAUUGUAGCACAGGAGGUAAACAAGUCGUAAUUCUAAAAACCAUGUUUUUUCAUCAUACUCAGGGGGGGUGGGGGGACCUAAGACAGCAUGUAAAAUGUUUAAUUGGUUAUGAUGUGAAAAAGAAGGUUUUCACAAAUUCAACAUGAGGUGGCAAAUUCUUACAGAUGCUUAAAGUUACUCUUUGUGAUGACUGACGGAUUGUCAUGGCCUUUAGGUUUGAUCCAAACCUUGCAGUAAAAAAUAUAGCAUGAUCAGAGCAUACGGUAAUCUCCUUACAUCUUAAAAGCAUUUUGUUGUCCACAAUAAACAACUAAGCAAACUGAAUAGAAAAUUAGAAAUUAAAAUACCUACUUCCAAAGGAAUGUCAUAGUUUAUAUGCUUCUUUUCUGCUAAAUAUGGCAAAGGUGGAGGAUCCUGCAAGUAAGAGCAUAUUAGCUGUAACUAGAAUAUGAAAUUCAUCACUAAAAACUGGGGUAUAUAUGUGCAUUUUUGAAAUCUGAAGUAUGAAGAAGAGUCCAAAGCACCUGUAUUGGUGCAUUGCAAGCAAAAGGUUCUAAAGCAUCUAAAGUCACAAUCCAAGGUGAAAUUGUUGUACCUACCAUAGAAACGAGAUUUGUAAGAUGAUAAAGAUAAAAAUUAACACAAGCGAAGUUAUUAAAAAAAAUAAAAGAAGUUGAGUUAAUCACCAAAGCUCUUUCCAAGGAAAGGCCCAAGAGGCACAUAUUCCCAUGCUUGUAUAUCUCGCGCUGUAAAGAUACAUCACUAGUAGGUGAAAAGAAGUCCAUUAUUUACUCUUAACUAAGGGAAGUAAAACAAAAGAAAAGAAAAGUACCACUCCAAUCAUUCAUUAGUACCAGUCCAAAUAUGUGAUCUGCUGCAUUGUCGACAGCUAUUGGUUUGCCCAACUCAUUUCCUGGCCCAACAAUAGCCGCCUAGAAACAAGAAUUUUAAACAUCAACGAGAUGAUUAUGAACCAUAAAGUAAUCAUACUUAGUAAAACAUGCAUGCACAACCUAGAAUCUGGGCAAAAAUGAAAUCCUCUAUGGUGAUCGAGUCAUAUGUAAAAAGGGAAUGAAAAUAACUUAAGUACAAGAAAAUAAACACUAUGGGCUAACCAUUUCGAGCUCAAAAUCCAGCUUCUGAGAGGGCCCAAAAUACGGUAGAGAAUUUCCUGAUGGAUGACCUUGGCCUCUGACAAGAAAAUUGAAAGAGAAGGAUCUUAGCUGGCUAUUUGAAUCCUUGUAAAACUUAGCUAAAACAAUAUAUAAAAAUUUAAACAAUGUUCGAGAAAAAAAUGUUGAGAAGAGAAUUCCAAACAUUAAACAUCUUCUUAGUGCAAAUAUAGCCUAAUUUAAAAAUUAUAUUAAUUGGUUGAAUUCAAGGCCAAGCUAGACUUACUUGGUAAAGCCAGUUAACUAUGUAUGUAUCAGAUCAGUCAGAUUUGACCCUUUAAUGGCUUAAUUGCACAUCCACUGAGGACUGACGAAUAUUGCCAGUUCAACUAAUAGACAACAAAGAGGCAUAUUCUUUUAUAUUAUUUAGAAUUAAGAAAUUGGGUAAGUUCAAGAAAGAAAUUUGUUUGCUGCAGCACAAUUCUGUAAAUUGUAGGCACAAAGCCAGUACAUUUCUUUACGUCAUCCAUCAUAUCAUCAGCUAGUCAAGCUUUCGUGUAAAACAUAUGAGAAAAGGAGAUUAAGAGAUUCUAGCUCCUGUUUAAAAAGAAAAUAAAAAUAAGUGGAGCACAAGGAGAAAGGUUGAGCAAGAUUUCCUCAAGGAGCUUCCAAUUAUUUGUAUACUCCGCUGCUGCAAUAAUCACUAUCUGCAGGAAAUCUAUUAUCUUACUCUGUACAUUUUUUCUAUUUUUUGAGGAACUUCCCACUAUCCACUCUAUUUAUAAGCCUCAGCUAAUGCAUUAUUCGGUAUGACUUAUGGCGCAACUCUUGCCAGAUUUUGUUUUCGUCAUGUAUUUCAACACCACUUUCUUUUCUUUUUUCUUUUUUGAAUGGAAGUAUUUCAACAUCACUUUGAGUGGAUUGGCAUUAUAGAUUGGCAGCUGAUAACAAAAUUAGUCAAUUGUCAGCAUUCUCAAAUUAGACUAAUGCUCUAUAUUAUGGCCUUAAGUAAAUAUGAUGAGAAGCAUAUUUAAAUUUUGUUAUAGUUAUCCAGGUCCAGGAUAGGCUUAGAUUGUGCUAAUCAAGCAAGCCUAAAGUAGAAGAAGAAAUACUCAGGAGCAAGCGGAAGACGAAAAAAUGAACAGAGCUUCACUUGAAUGCUUAAGCAAGCAAGAAAGUAAUGUUACAAAAUCUUUGAGCGUGCUAUGAAUCUUCAUGAAGGACAAAGAUAGGCAUAAAUGCACUUAUGAAUGUCAGAAAUGCAAGUGUCAAUUAUGAGUCAGCUGUAUAUAGUCUAAUGAGAAUAACAUGCAUAAAAGAACAAACAAGGAUAUCUUAAACAUCUAAACGGGAAAAAAAAAAAAAAAUUGUAGCAUAUGAUCUUUUGGUUGAUCCGAUAGUUGGAAAUGGCCAAAUAUAUUUCUCAUUACAACAUCAAAGUAAUAUUUAAACACUGAAUACCAAAUUCCUUUCGUGAUGUGCACACCUUGGACGAACAAUAUCUGUUCCAGAGAUUACUAUAGAUGAUGCCCGUCCAUGAUAAGCUAUUGGAAGAUGAAACCUGAAAGUUCAACCAAAAAGUGAGCUUAAGAACUCCAUGAGCUGCAAAUAAACAUAAAGUACUAGCUCUAUAUGUGGCACUCAGUGCAAGUGUAGAGAACAAGAAAAACCAAAAGAAUUAUUAGGCACAAAGAGUAGAAGGAGAAUUGCAGCACUAGGGCUAUACAAGCAAUCUAUUAAUCAAGAGUCAAAAAAUAAAUAAAUAAAUAACAUGAAAAAAAAGGUGACAAUGGAAUGUAUAAGGUCUUCAACCAAAGAAAUUGUUCUAGACACAAAACAAUUCUGCUUGUACCAUGAACUAUUGCCUUCUCCGAAUAAACUCGAACCGUUCAGGAGGAAAGAUAGCAUCUAUCUAAUUAGUCAUCAUUCUCUAUCUCUUGGGUACCUAGUUCUUAUUUCUCCCAUCCAUCGUCAUAUUUAUUCUUUCUGUGACAAACAACCACAUUGAUCCACAGUUAACAGAAUUUAAUGUCCCAAAAGUCCUAAUCUAUUUUCAAGCAGCAACAAUCAAACCACUAGCAUUACCACCUAAUAUCACAAAAAUAAAGCAUCUUAACAGUUACUCGACAAAUCCAAAUUUGUACUCAGUUUAUAGUCUUUCACAACUAGUGGCCAAAAAGUGCCUAAAUAAACCACCAGAAGAAGUACACAUGAUGCAACGUGCAUAUAAAAUAAACCGAAACUUUACCAGUUUGGUGCGAUUGCAUUUUCUGGUCCUCGGAAAAUUGUCCCGCAAUUCUUUGCAUGGUACAUAGAUGAAAAAAAAUCUGUGUAGUCCCCUAUUACAAUAGGCAAAAGCAUCUCUACCUCACUCUGCUAGGUCAAAAGAUGGCAUUAACAUCUCAUUAGCUGCGGAAAGAAAAAAUGGGCAGAUAAAAUCUCUAGGCAAAAGUUACUUAUACCAUUGGCAGAAGGCACUUUUCCCUUAAAGUAGCAUUAUCACGUAAUACUGGCUCAUCGGCUGCAAAGGAACAAAUAGAGGCACAUAAUUUAGACAACUAUGAUAACCAAAAUAAUUUGAACAUGGCAUGAAAGUAGAGGAAAAGAACCAUUUUUCUAAUAAGAUGGUAGAAAAUUAACAUAAGCAAAGAGUAAAUUACAAUAUAAACAUGCUCGUCACCACAAAAAAUAGCAGCUAUACCUGACAGAAUUUUCUGGAGAGUGGAUCGCGCCUCCUUCCAAGCCGGUCGCCCCAUUUCAAGAAACAUGUUGAGAGAUGGCUGUUAUUAUAACAACUAGUCUUAUGUCAGUUAACUGGAACAGUGCUAACACAUUCAAGAAUCAAACAUAAAGUUCAAAUAUAUCCCUACAAUUUGAAUUGAACACUCUAAUUACUAUCAAAUUAGUAUAAAAUAAAAAGGACAAGUGUUUUUUGCAGUCCUUCAAAGUUCGUAGUGUCAUAAUAUCCUGUUGCCUUGGCUAACUUAAUAAUCUACAGUCACUAACCUUUCUCCAUCCAGAAUCAUCAAAGAAACUAGUAAGACUAUUCGUAGAUAAUAUCCUAUGAGCUUGAAUUGGUGGGUCACAUGGUAUAUUGGUAUUAGAGCUAGUUCUAUGCCCUAUCAGUUCCAAGAGAUCAUGAGUUCAAUCGCACUUCCGCAUUCAAUGGCAAAAACUUAUGUUUGUUUCUCUUCUGUUAUCUACCCUGUUAGUGCACGUGGCGUAGUUCACCUAACCUUAUUCUAUAUUCCUCCACUGUUUGCUGAAAGAUUAAUUUUUUUGGUGAUGCAAAUUAUCUGAUCAUAAAAAUAGAAACCAUAAUUUGUCUGCAGGAACACUUUUGACUCUUCCCAGAGAUUAACACAAGUUCAAAUCCAAGAAAAAAGAAUCCAGAAAUUAUUCCCCAGAACAAGUCCAUAGACCAAAGUGCUAUGCCAAGACAUUCUCAUUGUUUGGUGGGUGAGAAAAAGAAUAUAGGAGGCACGGCGCAAACGUACGGGUAACUUUCACCCCUAUAAAAGAAUUUCAAAGAUAGUUGGUGCAAUUCGCCAGUACCUCUAUUCAUGGGUAGGUGCUUAAAUGGUACUCUUUACUGUGAAUACCCAAAAUACUGGGUUAUUUUUUGUGGAGAAAUUGUUGCAUGGACCGCGGUAUGUAGACCGGGGUCUGCAAAACUCAAUCAUAUUUUCUUGGCAUCAAGUAGUUGCAAAAAUUAAUUACGCUAAAAGAUCUAUUGUCAUUGCCAUUGCACAAAAUAAUAAUAAUAAUAAUAACAACAACAACAACAAUAACAAUUAUCUAAAGUCAUGAAUUUUAAGAUACGUCAAGAUACAAACAGCGCGUUUGGUUCAGGUACAGAAUCAAAAUCAGAAUGAACUAGGAUUGUAAUCUAAAGGGAAAAUUGCACAUUUGGUCCUCGAACUAUAAUUUGUUGCAAUUUCUAGCUCGAACUUUCGAAAUUAUUGAAAUCAAGUCAUAUAUCCCAAUUUAGUUGACUUAUAAAUGUAUCACUAAUGUGGAAGUGAGGUAGUCUUGUUUUGAUUGGCGAUGCAUCAGAAAUUAAUAUGUCACGUUACUUUUACAUCAGCGACGCAUCAACAUUUAAUCAACUAAAUUGGGUGGCAGAACUUGAUUGCUACAAUUCUAAAAGUUCGAGGAAAAACUUACAACAUAUUAAAGUUUGAGGGCCAAAGCGUCACUGGCCUUUUUGUUUGAGAUUUUGGCCUUUGAGGUUUUGGCCACAGCCGGUGUAUAGACCACGUCCAUGCAACAAUAAAUCGUGGUCGAUACAACAAGAAAAAUGCUUCCUGUACGCCCAAAAAGGAGGGUGCAGAUCUUACACCCUCCAUCCUAGGAUUGAAAAAAAUCCAAAUGGUUUUUACUAAGAAUAAAAAAAAUUAAUGCGACAAAUAGAGUAUCAAUGGCCUUGGGAUAGAGUGAGUGUAAGAUGUACACAGGCAAAAAUAAAAAAAAAAAAAAAAAAAAAUUACAUAGAGUUUUUUGAAUUGUACCAUUUUUAUAAAUAAAUUAUAUGAAAGGAGUUCCAAGGGUACAUAUAUGNUUUAAAUUAGCAUUUUUGGGGAUUGCUCUCGAUGGGCGCCACGUGACUCGCAGACGUCCAUCCCACCGUCCCUUUUCCUUCCUCUACUUCUUUCUCUCUCAAAAAAAAAAAAAAAUGACGUUUUUUUAAUUUUUGAGGAAAAGAAAGGGAUGGUAAGAUGGGCACCUGCGAGCCACACUGCGCCCAUCCGGAGUGUCCCCAAAAAUGCUAAUUCGGACACCAUGUCCAUACAAUUUUUGCCCGAUGUACACCCCACUUUGGGUUGUCCCUGCAUACACAGGGGACAGUAUACAGGUAAAAACGUAUGAAGACCCCUCAACUAUAGGUAAUUUCAAAUGGUCCCCUCAACCCCUUUUUUUCAAUUACUCUUACCCUCUAGCUUCUAAAUUCUUCUGCUUUAGUGUUUAUACUUAGUUAACUAAAAGGAUUUAUCAAAUUUAAUGAGUCUAUUAGUCAUUAACCGUUAAUUGACCAAGUUAAAUUUACUAAAAAGUAAUUAGAGUCAUUAAAUUUGAUAAAUUCCUCAAUUUGUUUUGGCUAAAAUCACUUAAUUCCAAAAAUUAAGAAGUUAAGAUAGUCUCUCUACACAAUUUUACCAAGUAUAUAUGCAUCACGCACAUCAACUGCUUCAAUAUACCAGGUCCCUGCACUAAUUUCUCCCAAAAAAAUCUCAAAAAAUACCAAAUUAAAAAAAAAACAGUGAUGUAUCGAAAAUGCAACGAGAGAGAGAGAGGGGGGUUAGGGUUUUGUGGAGGGGGGGGGAGGGACCUGGAAGAAGCAAUCGGAGCCCUUGAGCUCGGGGCCGUCGAAGAGCCCCGCCGCGGCACGCGGAGAGUCGAGCACGAACUCCCCGAUCGCCACCCCCGGCCUCGCCGCCGCCGCCGCAUCGCCGCCGCCUCCGCGCCGCCCUUGGGGCGGAAGACGCCGAAGGGAGGUUCUCCGGCGGGAAGUGCGAAUCCCGAUGCACCUCCACGAACGAUCUGCGACAACCCAUCUCCCCCUCUCUAGAGAGAGAGAUGAACGAACAAAGAGAGAGAGAGAGAUAGAAUGAGAGGACUAGGCUGGCAAAUGAGCGAGCCGGCUCGCGUUCGACUCGCGUUCGACUUGAUAUUUGGCUCGCUCGAGCUCGACUCGAAAUUAAAUGAGCCGAGCUUUAACAAAAAAAAAGGCUCGAAUUCAUUUCAAGCCGAGCUUGAGUAUACUCGGCUCGUUCGAAUUAGGCCCGAAAAGCUCGAAAAGCUCGAAUAUAUAUAUAUAUAUAUAUAGUAGAGCUACUAUGCUAUCAAAAGUAUAGAGGAUCUGGUGCUUUCGAUUUUUUGAUUCUUAGAUCAACCCCUUUAAUCAUUUUUUAUCUUUGGAUCAAUACUAUUAUUAUCUUGUAGGGACCACUCAAUCCUAGGGAUAUUAUUUAAUCCUAGGGGGACUGCAAUCAUCCCAACCAUACAAUUCUUAAUCAAAGGGUCAAAAAUUCGAAAACAUCAAAUUCUCUAUAUUUUCGAUAGCAUAGUAGUUCUACUAUAUAUGUAUAUUAAAAAAUAUAUAAAUAUAUUAUAUUUUAAUUAUAUAUAGGCUGAGUGAAUAAUCUUGAGUUUAGUUAAAAUUUGGCCAAUAUUGUUGGCCCAUAAAAACAAAACCAAUAGACAAAUAAAAGAGUAAAAUUUCACUAAAUUUAUACAUUUUUUCUUUCUUUAUUUAUUUCACAGAGCUCUAAAUUUUCAAUAUGUUUCUCUCUUUCUCUUUUUCUGUCUCUCACCCUAAGUGGCCAAGCCGGAAGCUCUCCAAAUUACCAAGUAACAGCAUAUACCCACCGUUGCCUAUCUUGCUAUUAAUUGUAUGCUUGAAAAAAAUAUACAGAAUAUUUUUAAAGUAAAAAAUUAUUAUUUAUAUAAAAUUUUAAUUUUAGUUAUAUAUGAUUGGAUAGUUUAAUCCAAUAUUUAUCUAUAUAAUUUAUUUAUUUUUGAUUGCAUAAAUGAAAAUAAAUAAUAUAGAAAUUGAAGGCGAAAGAAAAGACAUGUGAGGCGGAAAAGAUUAGAUAUUCAACUCAUAAAUUUUUUUUUUCAUAUUAUAAUACUAUAUUUUAUAUAAUUAUUUUGUACUUUGAACUAUUUGACAUAUUUUUGUAUCAAAUUAUAGAUAAUAUUCUAUACAAAUUAAACUAUUGAUNNNNNNNNNNNNNNNNNNNNNNNNNGUUUACCUGUUAAUUGCACGUGGCGUUGGUUUCAACCUAACCUAUUCUAAUAUUCCUCCAGUUUGCUGAAAGAUUAAAUUUUUUUGGUUGAGUGCAAAAUUAUCUUUGAAUAUUAAAUAAAAAACCUUAAUUGUCUGGCAGGAACAACUUUUUGAUUUCUUUCCAAGAGGAUUAAAGACAAAAACAACAGAGUUCCCAAUUCCAAGAAAAAAAAUGAAAAUCCAAGAAAUUUUAUUCCCCGAAAAACAAAGUCCAUAGACCAAAAAGGCUUUUAUGCCAAAAAAAGACGGGUUUCUUUUCAGUUUGUUGUUGGUGUGGGUGAGAAAAAAGAAAUAUAGGGGAAGGGCACGCGCAAACGUUUUUACGUUAAAACCUUUCACCUAUUUUAAAAAAUUCAAAAGGAUUAGUUGGGUUUGCAAUUUCGCCAGUUUAAACUCUAUUUUUCAGGGUAGGUUGCGUUAAUUGGUACUUCUUACUGUUGAAUACCCCAAAGAUACUGGGGGUUAUUUUUUUUUGUGUGGAGGAAAAUUGUUGCAUUGGACCGCGGGUAUGUGGAACCGGGUCUGCAAAAAACUCAAAAAAUCAUAUUUUUUUUUCUUUUGGCAUUCAAGAUGUUGCCCAAAUUAAAAAUUUACCGCUAAAAGAAAAAUUCUAUUGUCAUGCCAUGGCACCAAAAAUUAAAUAAUUAAAAUAUAACAACAACAAACAACCAAUAAACAUUAUCCUUAAAAUUCAUUGAAAUUUUAAAGGAUACGUAAAGAUACCCAACAGCGCGUUUGGUUUUUCAGGUUAACAGAAAUUUCAAAAAUCGAAAUGAACAGAUUGUCAAAUCUUUAAAAAGGGAAAUGCACAUUUUCUCGAAACUAGUAUUUGUUUUGAAUUUUUCUAGCUCGAAACUUUCGAAAAUUAUUAGGAAAAAUCAAAGUCUAUUUAAUCCCAAUUAAGUUGACUUUAUUAAUGUUAAUUUUCCAAACUAAUGUUGGAGUUGAAGUAAGUCUUGGUUGCAUUGGCGAUGCAUUCAAAAAUAAUAAAUUCACGUGUACUUUUACAUCAGGGACGCAUCCAAACUUAUCAACUUAAAAUUUUGGGGUUGGCGAACUUGAAUUGCUACCAAUUCUAAAAAAAGUUCGAGGAAAAAAAACUUAACAACAUUAUUAAAAGUUUUUGGGGGCCAAAAGCGUCCCCAACUGGCCCUUUGUUGAAGAUUUUGGGCCUUUGGUUUUGGCCAAAAACAGGCCGGUGAUAGACACUGGUCCAUUUGGCAAAACCAAUAAUCGUGGUCAAUUACAAAACAAGAAAAAAAUGCUUCUUUGUUUUUUCGCCCAAAAAAAGGGGAGGGUUGGCAAAAGUCUACACCCUCCAUCUAAGGAUUGAAAAAAAAAUUUCCAAAAAUGGUUUUUUUACUAAGAUUAAAAAAAAAAAAUAAUGGCGACAAAUAGAAAUUACAAUGGGCCUUGGGGAUAGGAGUGAGUGUAAGGAUGUACCAACAGGGCAAAAAAAAAUUGUAUGGACAUGGGUUCCAAUUUAGCAAUUUUGGGGAACACUUUCGGAUGGGGCGGGCGCGUGGGCUUUUUCCGUAGGCGCCAUUCUCGACCAUCCUUUUUCCUUUUUUCUUCUACUUUUCUUUUUCUCUCUCAAAAAAAAAAAAUUGCGUUUUUUUUAUUUUUUUUGAGAAAGAAGGAUGGUUUAAGAAUGGGCACCUGCGAAAGCCAAACUUUGCGGCCCCCAUCCGAGUUCCCAAAAAAUGGUUAAUUUUCGGGACAAACCAUGUCAUUAACAAUCCCGUGUUUUAACAAACCCAACUUUGGGGUUGGUUUUCCCCUGCAUUACAACCAGGGGAAAGUAUAAAACAGUAAAAACGUAUGGAAAGACCCCCUUUCAACUUGAGGUAAUUUUUUCAAAAUGGGUCCCCUUUUUCAACCCCUUUUUUUUCAAUUUACUUUCUUUUUACCUCUUAGCUUGUAAAAAUUCUUCUGCUUAGUGUUUAAUAACUUUUAAAAGUUAACUAAAAGGAUUAUCAAAUUUAAUGAGUUCUAUUUUAAGUUCAUUAAAACCGUUAAGAACAAGGUUAAAAUUACUAAAAAAAGAAAUUUAGAAUUCAUAAUUUUGAUUAAACUUUCCAAUUUGUUUUGGUAAAAACCCUUAAUUCCAAAAAAAUUAAGAAAUUCAAAGAUAGUCACUCUAACAACCAAAUUUUACCAAGUAUAUAUGGCAAAUUUCAAACGGCAAACAUCACUUGCUUUCAUAUACCAGGUCCUGCACUUUAUAUUUCUCCCAAAAAAAAAAAAUCUCAAAAAUUACCAAAAAAAUUAAAAAAAAAAAAACAGUUGAUGUAAUCGUAAAUUGCAAACGAAAGAAGAGAAAGAAAAAGAAGGGGAGAGGAGAAGAGAAAGGGGGUUUAGGUUUUUUUGUGGGGGGGGGGGGUCAGGGACCUGGAAGGAAAAGCAAAUCGGGAAAGCCCUUGAAGCUCGGGGGCCCGUUCGAAAGAGCCCGCCGCGGGGGGCACGGGAAGAGGUUCGAAGCAACGAAACUUCCGAUCGCCAACCCCCGGCCUCGCCGCCGGGCCGGCCGCAUUCGCCGCGCCCCUCCGGGGCGGCGCCUUGGGGCGGAAGACCCCGAUAGGGGGAGGUUUCUUUUCCGGGCGGGAAGUGCGAAACCGAUUGCACCUUCACGAAACGAAUCUGGCGAUCCACCCCAAUCUCCCCCCUCUCUAGAUGAGAAGAGAGAAAUGACACCGAAAGAGGAGCGGAGGAGAGGAUGAUAGAGUUAUGAGAGGACUAGGGGCUGGCAAAUGAGCGAAGCGGGCUCGCGUUCGACUCGGCGCUUACGACUCGAUAUUGGCUCGGCUUCGAGCCUCCGGGGGACUCGAAGUUUAAAUGAGCCGAGCUUGAACAAAAAAAAAGCGCGUCUGAAAUUCAUUUCAAGCCGAGCUUGCAGUAUUACUGGCCUCGUUCGAAUUUAGGCUCGAAAAAUCUCGAAAAGCGGUCGAAAUACUAUAUAUUAUAUAGUAGUUAUAGGUUAUAGUAUAGGUAUAUCAUAGUAGAGCUACUAUGCCUAUCAAAAGUAUAGAGGAUCUGGGCUGCUUUCGAUUUUUUGAUUCUUUAGAUCAACCCUUUAAUCACUUUUUAUCUUUGGAUCAAUUACCUAUUAUUAUCUUGCUAGCGGACACUCAAUCCUAAUUUAGGAAUAUAUAUUUAAUCUAGGGCCGACGUGCAAUCAUCGCCACCAUACAAUUCUUAAUCGAAAGGCGGUCAAAAAAAAUUCGAAAACAUAAUAUUCUCUAUAUUGUUCGAUUAGGCAUAGUAGUUGCUACGUAUUAUAGUAUAUUAAAAAUAUAUAGAAUAUCAUUAUAUUUAUUAUAUAUAGGCUGAGUGAGGAUAAUCUUGAGUUUAGUUAAAAUUUGGGGCCAAAUAUUGUUGGCCCAUAAAAACAAAACCAAUAGACAAAUAAAAGAUAAAAUUUCACUAAAUUGUAUACAAUUUUUCUUUCUUGUAUUUAUUUCACAGAGCUUUAAAUUUUCAAUAUGUUGUCUCUCUUUUCUCUUUUUCUGUCUCUCACCCUAAGUGGCCAAGCCGGAAGCUCUCCAAAUUACCAAGUAACAGCCAUUCCACCGUUCUAUCUUGCUAUUAACUUGUGAUGCUUGGGAAAAAACUAUACAGAAUAUUUUAAAGGGUAAAAAAAUUAUUUUAUUUUUUAAUAAAAUUUUAAUUUUUAGUGUUAUAUUAUGAUUGGAUAAGUUUAAUCCAAUAUUUACUUAUAUACUUUUUUAUUUUUGAUUGCCGAUAAAUGAAAAUAUAUAAUAUAGAAUGGAAGGCGAAAGAAAAGCAUGUGAGGCGAAAAAUUAGAUAUUCAACUCAUAAAUUUUUUUUUUUUCAUAUUAUAAUACUAUAUUUGGUAUAUAAUUAUUUUACUUGGAACUAUUUGGACAUAUUUUGUUCAAUAUAGAUAAUAUUCUUAUACGAAUUAAAACUACGUUGAUUCGUGAUAAAUGUUUGAGAAUUUCAAGCGCUCGUUUAGGGGCUCGAGCUCGCUCGACUCGAAAUUAGGCUCGCUCGAGCUCGGCUCGAAUUAAUUUCAAUCCAAGCUUGAGCUUAAAUUUAGGCUCGAAAUUAAUUUCAAGCCGAAUUUGAGCUGAGGUAAGCUCGCUCGAGCUCGGCUCGUUUCCACCCCUAAGAGAGACGAGUCUCUCUCUCUCUCUCUCUCUAUAUUUAUAGGUGUGUGUGUAAUUUAAGGCUCUUUCCUACUGAGGUGGGAGUUGUUAUUAUUACCCUUUGUUAUGGUUUUUUUCUUUUUUUUCUUUUAUGGGAUUCUCAAUUUUUUAAGUUAUCUAAAAAUUAAUUUUAGAACUUUUUUUUACAUUUAGUCUUCUCAAAAACAAAAAAUAUAAAUAAUCUUACAAAAUUUAUAUUUGUAAGAUUGGUCCUAUGUUCACCACGUGACCGUCAUGCGAGCACCGUGCGAGGGUGAAUGGCGGGUAGGUUAAGUUGAACACGGUGAAUCAUUCACUGUGCUGAAUCAUUCACCGUGUCGUGUUCUAUUAUUUUUUAUCACAGUAUCACGUAAUAUUUAAAAUUUCUGGUUUAAGAAGAAUAUGGUGAACCAUUCACUGUAUCCAAACAUAGUGAAUGAUUCACCGUAUUCAACUGAACCUACUGUCACGCCCACAUGGCGCUUGUACGACACUGUCGUUGCGAAGAUAGGACGAGUCUUAUAAAUAUAAAUUUUGUGGGACUAUUUGUAGAAAAAAAAAAUUUGAGGAUGCUAAAUACAAAAAAAAAAAAAAACCCUUAAUCUAAGUAGAACGUAAAACCAAAGCGGUAAACCACAACAUUAUUGGAUUUAACAAAUAAUAAUAAUAACAAAAGAAGUUGAAGUUUAAAAUGAACUGACGUCUGUUGAUAAACUAAUAAUGAGUGCAUAUAUUAUUUUAUUUUUUUUAAAAAAAAUUUGUUAAGUAGAAAUUAAGAGUGAACAUAUUGUAUAAAAAUUAGGAAGUUUAAAUUAUUACUUAUAUUUUUUUCUUUUACUUUUGAGACUCACACGCCAUCAACAAGAAAGCAAAUGAGACAAAUUUCAUAACGAAAAGAAUCCCCCACUUUUCACCCUGUUUUCUUAGCGGGUUAGGCAGAUUCAAAACGAAUUAAUUCGUGUGGGCCGAGAAUAGAUUCUAAACAGAUUUUUAACGCAACGGGAUGAAUCUAAAGAAGAAAAUGUCGUCACCUUCCGCUUCAUUUUUUUUGACGGAAGGAAUUCAGGAAGAAUUAUUAUUUUUCUUAUUUUUAGCCAUCACUUACCGCCUUAUUAGGAUGAAUCGGCACAGAAGCUCCACCAACGUGAAUCUAUCUGCAUCCCAACUCAUUGAUCCACCGUUAAUCUUUUGAUAAGAUAUUUUUAAUAAUAUUAUUUUCAGAUUUAACCACGAGAAAAAGCAAAAGAGACGUUGAAGUUCAGUAUAAAAUAUUGUGUGCUUACAUAAUCCAAGAGUGAACAUAUCAUUUUAUUUUUUAUUUUUUAUUUUUUAAAAUCUUUUAUUAAUCAUGCGAGGUAGUUGUGGAUGGUAGUGUGCAAAAUGGAAUGGCAAUAAAUAAAUAAUAAAAGAAAAAAAAUGUAUGGAGACCCCUCACCUUAUGCCAUUCUAAAAUAGCCUUCUCAACUUUCCUUUUUUUUUUAUGGGUUAAUUGCGAAUCAUUUUUUUAGGACAAAUAUCAUUUAUGUGGUUUCGCACUUUCUCACUUUUGUAUCAUGUGGUUUAAAGUGUAUCAAUGUAGUAUCCCGUGGUUUCUCUCUUUUCAUCAACUCCUUCGUUAACAUUUUGUUAAAUUAUAUACAAAAAACUUCAGAUACCCUACCUAGGUUUAUCGAAUAUUCACUUUAGUAUCUUUAGUUUUAAUUUUAUUACCGAUUUAAUGAAAAAAAUUAGUGGAAGGGAUAAUAAAAAAAAUAAAACCACGGAUACAAAAUCGAUACAUUUUAAACCAAAGAGUACCAAAGUGAGAAAGUACAAAUCCACAAGGGUGGUAUUUGACUUUUUUUCUCUUUUUAUUUUUUUUGUACUCACUAAAUUUUAACCUUUAUACAAAUUCAAAUAUAAAAUUUGGCUUCAUUCACUUGAAUAUGAACGUUACGAUUGAAAAUACAUAAGAAAAUUCAUCUGCAAUAGUCGGACAAAAUAAUUUCAGAUAAAUAUAUUUACCUACCUAAUCAUUUUUAUAACAAAAAUUAUUUUUCUUCUACAAAUACAUCCAAUCAAAUAAGAGCUAUACGUUUACAAUUGCUAUAUUUUCAGUCGUAUAUAUCUUAACUACGUACUGCAUUUAUAAUUACAGUUGAUAAAUUACUGUAUCUUUCGCGGUAUAUAUUUUUAAUUUAAUCGUAUUUAUGCUUACAUCGAGCUAAACAAUUCAUAUACUAUUUUAUUUUAUUUUUAUUCAUCAUCUUACUGUAAUCUUAUAAAUAUUAUAUUAAAAAAUCUUAAUUAUUUGUAUAUUAGGAUUAUCAAUAGAAGAAGUCAAAAAUAUUUAUAGAAAAAUAUAUUUGCAAAGAUACUCCUGUUGGGGAGAGAAAGUAAAAAAUCAAACCUUUGAGGGGUAGGGAUGCAAAAUAAACUUACUAUAUGUGGAGCAUUACUCUUCAUGAUUUGACACAUUUAUGUAGGUACAAUAAAUAUAAAGAAAAAUUACUCUUCAUGAUUUGACACAUUUAUGUGGAUAUAAUAAAUAGGCCAAUUUGCAUAAAAAAUCCACUUAUUUUGGGCUUUUGCAAAACUGGGCCACCGUUUUCGUUUUUGCAGAUUCGGUCCACUUUUUCAGCAAACUGACCAAAAUACCCUUUUUACUUUUUCUCUUUCCUCUUUCUCUCUCCUCUUCGUUUCUCUCGUUCUUUUUUUUUCUCGCCGGCAGAGCGGAGGCGGAAACGGUCCGUCUCGCCUCUCACCCUCAUUCUCUAGCCCUCGCCCUCGCCCUCGCCCUUGCCCUCGUCCACGCACCCCCCACCUUCCUCGCCUCCAACCCCGCUAAGGCCGCGCCACGACUUUUUUUUUUUUUUCUUUUUUCUUUUCUUUUCUUCUCCGACUCUUCUCCACCGUCUCCGACGACGAUGCCUCUCUCGUCCUUCUCGUCCUUCCCCGCCCUUCUCAUCUCUCCCUCUCCCUCAUUCUCUGCCGCCUCCGACGACGAUGCAUCUUCGCCGGCGCCGACGUCGACACCGUGGAGGUCACUGCGGCGCUACAGGCUCGGAGCGGGGGUCCUUAGCGGUGUCGUCGCCGGCACCGUGGCUGUUGGCAGAGAAGGUGACAAAAAAAAAUUAUAGAAAAAACAGAAAAAAAAAAAAAGAUAAAAAAUUAUAUAAAAAGAAGGAUGAACAUCAAAUUGUAUCGUUAACUGCAAAAAAAAUUAUAAGUUGCACUAUUUAAGAUGUAAACUGCAGCUUUAAGAUGAAAACUACACUCUUUAAACGAAAAUUACACUCUUUGAGAAAUAUUUACACUGUUUCUCUUCUUAUUACACUCUUUCAGAUGUAAACUGCAUCCAUUAAGAUGAAAGUUACACUCUUUAAACAAAAGUUGCACUGUUUCUCCUCUUGUUGCACCAUUUCUCCUCUUGUUACACUAUUUUUUAUCUUAAACUGCACCCUUUUAAGAGAUAUUUAUACUGUUUCUCCUCUUGUUGCACCAUUUCUGUGUAAAUAAGAGGAGAAAUAGUGCAACAAGAGGAGAAACAGUGCAAGAAGAGAAGAAACUGCACUGUUUUAAGAGAUAUAUAUACUGUUUCUCCUCUUGUUGCACCAUUUCUGUGUAAACAAGAGGAGAAAUAGUGCAACAAGAGGAGAAACUGCACUGUUUUAAGAGAUAUAUCUACUGUUUCUUCUCUUGUUGCACUGUUUCUCCUCUUGUUGCACCAUUUCUGUGUAAACAAUAGGAGAAAUAGUGCAACAAGAGGAGAAACAAUGCAAUAAGAGGAGAAACUGCACCCUUUUAAGAGAUAUUUAUACUGUUUCUCCUCUUGUUGCACUGUUUCUCCUCUUGUUGCACCAUUUCUGUGUAAAUAAGAGGAGAAAUAGUGCAACAAGAGGAGAAACAGUGCAAGAAGAGAAGAAACUGCACUGUUUUAAGAGAUAUAUAUACUGUUUCUCCUCUUGUUGCACCAUUUCUGUGUAAACAAGAGGAGAAAUAGUGCAACAAGAGGAGAAACUGCACUGUUUUAAGAGAUAUAUCUACUGUUUCUUCUCUUGUUGCACUGUUUCUCCUCUUGUUGCACCAUUUCUGUGUAAACAAUAGGAGAAAUAGUGCAACAAGAGGAGAAACAAUGCAAUAAGAGGAGAAACUGCACCCUUUUAAGAGAUAUUUAUACUGUUUCUCCUCUUGUUGCACUGUUUCUCCUCUUGUUGCACCAUUUCUGUGUAAAUAAGAGGAGAAAUAGUGCAACAACAGGAGAAACAGUGCAACAAGAGGAGAAACAGUAUAAAUAUCACUUAAAAGGAUGCAGUUUAAGAUAAAAAAUAGUAUAAUUUUCGUUCAAAGAGUAUAAUUUUUAUCUUAAAGCAGCAGUUUACAUCUUAAAUAGUGCAACUUAUAAUUUUUUUUGUAAUUAACGAUGUAAUUUCAUCUUCAUCCUUCUUUUUAUAUAAUUUUUUAUCUUUAUUUUUUUUUCUGUUUUUUCUAUAAUUUUUUUGUCACCUUCUCUGCCAACAGCUACGGCGCCGGUGACGACGCCGCUAAGGACCCCCCGCUCCGAGGCUGUAGCGCCGCAGUGACCUCUACGGUGUCGACGUCGGCGCCGGCGAAGAUAAAUCGUCGUCGGAGGCGGCAGAAAAUGAGGGAGAGGGAGAGAUGAGAAGGGCGGGGAAGGGCGAGAGGCGUCGUCGUCGGAGACGGUGGAGAAGAGUCGGAGAAGAAAAGAAAAGAAAAAAGCAAAAAAAAAAAGUCGCGGCGCGGCCUUAACGGGGUCGGAGGUGAGGAAGGUGGGGGUGCAUGGACGAGGGCAAGGGCGAAGGCGAGAGCAUGAGAGUGAAAGGCCGCCUCCGCUCUACCGGCGAGAAAAAAAAAAAGAACGAGAGAAACGAAGAAGAGAGAGAAAGAGGAAAGAGAAAAAGUAAUAAGGGUAUUUUGGUCAGUUUGCUGAAAAAGCGGACCGAAUCUGCAAAAAUGAAAAAGGUGGCCCGAUUUUGCAAAAGCCCAAAAUAAGUGGAUUUUUUAUGCAAAUUGGCCUAAUAAAUAUAAAGAAAAAAUUGAAAUAAAAAUAUAGUAGCAUAAAUUAAUCAAAAAAUUAAUGAGCUGUGACAGUUCCAGGAGAAAAUUACAUGAAUGCCACUCCAACAACCUCUGCAAAUCCUACCAAACCUUCACAAGUUACAGCAUCUUGUAACUUCAAAUACAAUCACUAUAAUUUUACACUUUUUAAUUUUACUACCAUUUGAUUUAAAGUGUAUUAAUUUAAUACUCUGUGAUUUUAUUUUUCUCUUUUUGUCACCCCCUUCGUUAACUUUUUGUUAAAUCAUAUACAAAUUUUUAGAUACCCCAACUAUAGUUUAUCGAAUAUUUAUUUUAGUACCCUUUAGUUUUAUCUUUGUCACUGAUUUAAUGAAAAAAAAUUAGUGAAGGGAGAACGAAAAGAAAAAAUAAAAUCAUAGGGUAUGAAAGUGAUACACUUUAAAUCAUAGGGUACUAAAGUGAAAAAGUGUAAAACCAUAUGGGUGGCAUUUAAAAUUUUUCCUUAAAAAACGAAAAAAAAAAUCUUGUUAAACUAACAUAGAACCCGAACUUUGCAGUGAAUAAUUAUUAUUUUAAUCAAUAUAUAUAUAUAUAUAUAUAUAUAUAUAUAUAUAUAUAUAUAUAUAUAUAUAUAAUAUAAUAUAAUUAUUAAGAAUUGAAGAUUGAAAAAGUUAUAACUUAAAAAGCACAGUCAAAAUGCCUAUUAGAGUAUAUAUAUAUAUAUAUAUAUAUAUUAUGAGAAAUCUAAAUAUAAAAUAUAUUUAAUUUGUACUUAUGUGAAUAUUUCAUACAACAAAAGAUAUUAAAUUUAUUCUUUUAAAAUUAGUUCUGUAUCAUAACAGUUACUAACUCUACAUUAGGAGUUUAUGCGUCAAAUGAAUAUAUAUAAACAUAUCUCAACUAUCAGCCAUUUUGAAAUAGGUUUUUCAACCUUUUUUUGUUAUUUUUAUUUUAAUAUUUUAGAAUUAUGUGCUUUUGAAUUUUGUGAUAGAAAAAUCUAAAAGAGAGAGAGUUGUGAGAAAGUUAGGGUUCUCGAGCAUAAUAAUUACCUAGAAGAGAAAAAAAAGAAAAAGAAAAAAGAGGGGAUAGAAAGAGAUCUUAUAAGAUAUGAUAAAAAGAGAGGAGGAGAGAGAGAAAGAGAAUGAGAGAAGAGAGAGAGAAAGAGAGAUAUGAUAUGAUUGAAAAAUCAAACAGAGAGAAUUGUGAAAGUGAGAGUUAGGAUCAUCCUACAAAAGAGAGAGGGGAGGGGGGAGAAAGAGAUCUUAUAAGAUAUGAUAAAAAGAGAGGAGGAGAGAGAGAAAGAGAAUGAGAGAAGAGAGAGAGAAAGAGAGAUAUGAUAUGAUUGAAAAAUCAAACAGAGAGAAUUGUGAAAGUGAGAGUUAGGAUCAUCCUACAAAAGAGAGAGGGGAGGGGGGAGAAAGAGAUCUUAUAAGAUAUGAUAGAGAGAAAGGAGAGGGGAGAAAGAGAGAGAAUGAGAGAAGAAAAGAUGAAGAGACUACCAUGUAGAGAGAACGAAGGAAAGCGCACAUACCUCUCGCUAACUACAUCGGAUGAUGAGCACUCGCAUCGAGGGGCAGAGCAGAGUUGCAUUCAUCUAAACUCAGAACCACUGCUCACAGCACCCCGAACAUCUACCGCUUUCGAUCUGAUACCUCUUAAUUCAGAGAGGAAAUGCGCACUUGUAUGACAGGAACCAUCAAAUUAUAUAUCGUAUAGAUUUUUAUUUAAAAUUUUAUUAUAUGAAAUAUUACCAACUUAAGAAAUGUGCGCCAUACCAUAAUAAUUGUAAGGGACAUUUAAAAAAUUUUCACACUAAUCCAAAACUUUUACCCAAAGUUUGCUUUUUCUCUUUUUUUUUCCAAAAUAUUAAAAUAAAAUAUUUAGCAUUUCAAACUUUUAAAAACUACUAUAAUUUAGUAUAUAUAUAUAUAUAUAUAUAUAUAUAUAUAUAUAUAUAUAGUCCGGCUACCAUACUAUCGAUAGUACCAAGCAUUUGGUACUAUUGAGUUUUCUACCGUUAGAUCUACCCUCUGAUCAGUUCCACCCGUUAGAUUAUAAUAUUAAACCAACCACUCACUCAAUCCUAGGGGACCACUAUCAAUUUAACCGGGGACCACUAUCAUCCUAACCGCACAUCUUUUCAUCCAACGGCCGAAAAUUCAAUAGUACCAAGGACUUGGAACUAUUGAUAGUAUAGUAGCAUAAUUCUAUAUAUAUAUAUAUAUAAAGAGUUAGGCUGAAAUACUAUUAAUGGCAUAAUUAAGCUGUGGAUACUAUCCGAUUUUUAGCCGUUAGAUCUAUUUCUUUGAUUAUUUUUACCAUUGGAUCAAUACUUUUCCAUCAACUAUUAUUAAAUCCUAGGGGACCGCUACCAUGCUAAUCCUAAAAUUUUUCAUCCAAAAAUUAUAAACUUUGUAGUAAAAGAGCCUAAAUAUUAUUAAAAAUUUUCCAUCCCAACUCUAUAUAUCAAUAUCAGUUUUUUAUAAGUUAUAAAUCCAUCAACCUCGAUGUCAUUUUAUAUUUUUAGUACAUGCCACAUUUCCUUUUUAAUUUAAUUCAUAUUACCAAUUAGUUUCAGAGUCUUUCUCUAAUUAUAACUUAGAUUAUUGGACUGAAAAAAAUUGUAAAUUGACUGAGCAUCACAAUUUGCAAACACGCCAAGUACAACCAACAUUUUUUUUCUUUCUUUUCUUUAUAACAAGAUUAAAGCAAAUCACUAUAAAUAUUUGGAUUUUGGAUUUUCAAAUUUCCAAAUUAAAAGUUCAAGCACCAAAAUUUCGGUGCAAUUCAACCCCUUGUUGGCCAUCAACUGGUGCGUAUCAACCAUACAAAAUUUGUAUUUAAACACACGAAAAAAUGAAAAAACAGCAACAAUACCAACCGAGACCCAGCGCCGAGAUUUUGAUGUGCUUUCAAAAUUGGAGCUCACAAUACAUGCUCAUAAAUUACAGCGCAGAUACUCUCCUCUCUCUCUCUUGAAAAAGAUUCAAAUUUGUCAAAUUUGUCACAAGAAAUGAAGAAAUAGCUCAAAAGUGGCAGGAAAGGUUCUUCCAAUCAAUUUCAUUUACUGUUCUUGAGAAAAAGAAAAGGAAGAUCAAUCAAUCUCUUGUUCCAUUCCUGGGACCAGAUGAAUGGUAAGGUUUAAUUUCCGUCUUUCUCGAUAGACCAAUCAUUGCACACUAAGGCGGGGCGGAGAACAAGAGAGAAGCAUUGGUCCCGCCGAAGCCAAAAGAGUUGGAAAGCGCGGCUCGUAUUUGCAUCGUCUUCGCGGCGCUUAAGGGCAUGUAUUCUCCUUCGAAAGCCGGGUCCGGUCUCUCGAGAUUGAGUGUUGGAGGAGCAAUCCCCUGAAACCAAACACAUCGUAGUAAGCCGUAAUUAAAAUUACUUCAAACAUGGUGCCCUUAAGAGCAAAGCGUAAAAGUAGUAAAAGAAACAAAGAAGAGAAUUUGCUACAGAUAGUUUUGUUGCGGGUCACAAGGCAUGCGAAGCAACUUAGCUUGAAGAAGCUUCGAUCGAUCAAUGGUAGAAUAUGAGUCGAGCAUAGAUAUGCAUGUUUCGUGAAAAUAAUAUUUUAUUUGCUCAAUAAUAAAUUACCGUUCAAGGUUGAAUGUUACGAGGGCGUGCACACACACACACACACACACACACACACACACACACACACAUAUAUAUAUAUAUAUAUAUAUAUAUAUGAUUUGCUUCGUACGAUUCACGAGGAGUUGGUGUUCUACUACAAAUGGUUUUUUUUGAAGAGGGGUAUUUGGUAGGUACAAGGCUACACGUGCAAGAGUUAUGGAAGAGCAUGCAUGAAAAUUCAGUUUUCACAGAGAUAUAUGAAUCAUAAACGAUUUGGCAUUUAUCUAAAUUUCUCUAUUUAUAUAUUGUAUCGAUGUUUUUUAUAGCUUUAUAUCAAUCAAUGGCUUACUUUCUAAUUGUAAAACCUUUUCCCCUGCAAAUAAAUUUCAGUCUUAAGGUUACACUUAAGCAUCUAUAUAAUUUUAUCUUGGUUUAUACUUUAUGGAUAAUACGCACACAAACAAAACACGCCAAUAAGAGAGAGAGAGAGAGAGAGAGAGAGAGAGAGAGAUGAUUGUUCAGUGAACAUACAUGGUGGAUAGCUAGGACAGUGAAGAUCGCUUCAACAGACCCGGCUGCUCCAAGUAGAUGACCAGUAGCCCCCUAAAGAUUAUUUCAAAAAUUAGCGCGUCACGCAACUGCAGAGCUAAAGGAAAAAAGGGUAGAGGCAUCAAACACUACCUUUGUGGAGGACAACGCUAGAGCACCUGAUGUUGCAUGGUCUGAGAAGACCGACAUGAUAGCAUGGGCUUCUACUGCGUCACCUAAAGACAGUGGCAUCUCAAACAAUAAGCGAAUUUUGCUUCGGCUCAAUUUUAAUCAACAAAGAGAACUUUAAAGCACUCAGUAAAACUAUUUUGUUGUACAGCAUGAAACUGCUAUGCAUCUUACCUAGAGGAGUUGAUGUGGCAUGAGCAUUUACGUAAUCUACUUGACUUGGAUGAAGCCCGGACUUUUACAUGCAACAGUAAAAAGAAAAACAAAAAACAAAAACAAAAAGAAAAAGUUACGGCCAUUUUGCACAAAGAAGUCCAUUAUUAUUAUUAUUAUUUUACAGUUUUCAGCUAAAAUAUACUUGUAUGGCAUAAAAGCCUUGUGGCCAAAAUCAUUGCGCAAAAGUCCCAAAAGUUGAUCGUUCACAAUAUUUGAUACAUGAUGGUAAUCUAAGAUUUAGAGAGAAAUAAAUUGCUGUCAAGUAUUGUUCUGCAAAUAUAAGGACUAAAUAAGAGAAAGUUGAUUUAACGAAUACACAUGCCAAAGAAAUCUGAAGUAAUAGAAUCACUUCUUCAGGCUAGAUAGAUAUGCAUAGAAAUUGUGCGGCUUAUAUUGUUACAGGCAGAGGAUUCCUGCAGUAGAAUAUAAUACCUGUUCUAAUGCCCGCUUCAUGGAUAAAAUAGCACCCUUUCCGUCACUCUGUGGUUGAGUUAUGUGAUGAGCGUCGCCUAACAGAAUCAAGUUCAUAAGAUCACAAAUCAAGGGACUGAGAAAUGGUAGAACAAUCUAAACUUUUUAUUUGAAAUAGAAGGAUACCGGACAUUCCAUAUCCUCGGACUUCUGCAUAAAUUUUCGCUCCUCGUUCCUUUGCAUGAUCAAGUGACUUUUUACGAGGGCAGAUAUGCAAGUUCGUUCGCAAGGAAGGACAAAACAUUACGAGAGGAAACUUGCCACAAAGAAAAACAGAAGAACAUAGAAAAGGACACUAACAAUAAGUUUAAUACGAUCUGCUUCUCUUGGCUAAUGUGCCGAUUUGGUCUGGCAUGUAGCAGGUUUUCGUAAUCCAAGAAGCAGCCAUCAAAUGUUUGGCAAACAUAAAUCACAGAGUUUUUGCAGCAGCAGAAAGCCAAAAUGAUUUUCUGAGCCCGAAAAUAGAAGCUCUAAUCAUAAGCUUCUGUUCUGCCGCAAUUGGAAGUUGUAUCAAAAAGGGCCAUUCUAAUGAAAAAAUCGGUAGUACUUUUUCGAACAACUAUACUUAAACAGCAAUUCUACAAAAGCUAUAGUCAGGUCAAAUGGGCUCUAUUUGAUAUGAGCAUCGUGUUCUAAUUCAGCCCGUAAAACUCUCUGCUCCAGUAACAUCGUAAAUCUCCUUCCGUUGGACCUUUUAGACACUUCAACUACAUGCAUAUGUUGUCAAAAGUCCAACCAACAAAAGCCAAUCCCAUUUAUUUCUGAUGCCCUAAUAUAGCCCCUGAUAAUCAUUUUAUAUGAUAAAGAAUAUAGAAAGCAACCAACCAGACGGUACAGUUUAGAGACUUUCCAAAUAGGAGAUAAAAUCAAGUAAUCAAGACUAAAUAACAACAACAGGAACGAAAAAGAAAGAAAUCUUUCUCAGAACUCACCUCCAACACCAUGACACCGGAACCUUCACCAAUCCUGGUUAGCCAUGAUGUUUUUGUACAAAUUAUAACAUAUAAAAAAAUACAAUAUAACCAAUAAAGAUGAAGAGCAACAAGAAGGCAAAGCUUACACGAAUCCAUCUCUACCGCAAUCAAAUGGUCGAGAAGAAACUUGAGGGAGAGAAUUGUACUUUGUACUCAAUGCCCUCAACCUACAUAAGCAAGAAGCACAUUGUAAAGCAGCAGGCCGAAAUAAUUCCCCAAUACUUGCAUAUAAUACCGACAGAAGAACAUGGAAAGGCAGAGAAGUGAUGUAGAACAAAGGAUUUUAUUGCUGUGUGACAAAUUUACAACAAUCAAUCUUGCUACUAAAAUUGAUGGUGUUUACAGAGCUCUGAAUAUCAUUCUGUUGGUUACCUAGCAGAACCUCAACGAAGCAGCUUCAUGUAAAAAGAAAAAAAAGAAAGUUGAUGGAAGGGAAGAAAAGCGAAGGAGGGAGCUAUACUAAAGUAAAGAUUUCUAGAAGCAAUUGUAGCAAAGUGGGAAAAGAAGGGCAUAGAGGGAUAAGAGUUUUAGACAAGCUGAACCAGCGACACUUGCCUAGAAAAACCAGCAAUUGAUAGAGCAUCAAUGCUGGACUCGGUUCCUCCAGCAAUCAUAACAUCCGCAUCUCCAAAUUGAAUCAUCCUUGCGGCAUCGCCAAUAGAGUGGGCCCCAGUGGCACAGGCUGUCACAGCAGCAUGGUUUGGACCCUAAAUUAAAAGAUAUGCCCUUUCUAGAAUAACAUAUAUUACCAAUUUCAAAGCACAUUUUAUAAAUUAGACAAAACUAUUCAAUGAAUAAGCUUGAUUGUAAACUCACUUGGAAUCCAUACUUCAUGCUGACAUGCCCCGAUGCCAUGUUGAUCAAUAUCCUAGGGAUGAAGUAUGGGCUAAGCCGACGUAAACGCUGUGUUCACGAAGUGAAGAACAUAAUAUUAUCCACCAAUAUCACGAGUGCGGUAAUGAUCCCAAAUAGGCAAGAAACUAUACUUUGCACAAAGAGCAAACGAGAAACAUAAUCUUGCGACAAGAAGAGAAAAAACACCUUUUCACAAAUCAGUUGUGACGCAUCUAAAAUGUCUGGGAUGCUUCCAAUUCCCCCACCAAUUGAAACACCCUGGUGUUUCUCAAAUUAGUGUACCAAAAAAAAAGUGAAAAUGAACCGUACUUCCACGUUUCCUCGAAAGUAGAUAACUACCGUUCUUUCUUUCUUUUCAACUUCAGUUGGUAACCAGUUUGCAUCUCUAAGAGCCUCAUCAGUUGCGCAUAGCGCAUAUGCUAUAAAUCUGGCUACAGAUUUAUUAUCCUGGGCACAAAAUUCAAUCAAUCAACAUAAGAAAACGUAUAAUCAGGGUGAAUUGGCGAUAUCUGUGGAAUCAUAAGGCAAGCAUUCACUGUUGUGAUUGUCAGAGGAAGAAAAUAACCAAUUCACUUUCACUUAAACAUAUAUGACACAUCACACAUCAUAUGACCCUAAGUAGUUAAUAAUAGUUAAAAGGUCAGAAACAAUGUUAUAGACGUAGAGAGUCCAUUGAUUUAAACAUUACAAGAACUUAGAAAGAGAGUGAGUGGUGAAUUUCUAAUAAAUGAAUCACAUUAAGCAAGUCAUUUACUAUGGCAUAUUAGUCCAUCAUGCAUCCAGGACGUUGCAAUUAAAAAAAAAAAAAACCAUAUAAUGAGUAAUUCGAGUAGCAAAAAGAAAAUCAGAUAUCAUGACUAGGCAGCCGGCACUAAAACCCAUGAGUUGCCUAGACAGUCGGUUAACAAUAUCUAGACAUAGAAAACAGCACAUGCCAAGAAAUGGCUAAUAAUAAUACAAUUUAGGUAAGGGAAGUACAAGAAGAAUGAAACAACUUAAUGCAGUUAUUAUUACAAAGGAGAUUCUGGAGCACCCAUAACAACAUUUAGGGGCCGUUUGGUUGCAUGUAGUUGCAACUGCAUGGCGGUUGUAAUUGAAUGCAAAUGCAAAUUUGGUGUUUGGUUUGAUAUAUUUAACUCUAACUACUGCAGUAGGAACUGCAGGAGGAGGUCCAACUGCAGCAGUUGGAGAAAAUAACUUUAAAUAAAAAGUAACCUUAUCUCUUUAAAUAUUUUUUAAACAAAAAAUAAUUUUUUUUUACAUUGGAGGUAAUAUCACCAUCAUAUAUAAUAAAAUUUUAAAAAUUAUUUCUCAACUACAUGCAACCAAACAAAUUAUUUAUAGUUGCAGCGCUUCUACUACACCCAACCAAACAUGAUGUAUGUAGUUAUAACUACUGUAUUUCCAACUGUAUGUAUCUCCAACUACACUGCAUUUGUAAUUACAUCUAACCAAACGGCCCCUUAGAUGUGACUGAAAUGUUGCCUCCAAACCCCAACAAUGAACUACAGCAGGCGAAAAACAUAUGAAACAUAUCAUUAACAAUUCCACACAAAAACCCAAUCUAGAUUAGUAUUAAACAUUGCAAGAGAGUGAAGAAGAAUGACUGCAGUAAUGACUUCUCUAAGAACAACUGUUCCAGCAUGGAUGCUAAUAGCAAAAGCAUGGAAGAAUCAAACUGAUGCAAUAAACAAAACCCUAACUCCAAAAUUCCCUUUUUCACCUUACACUGCUCUCCAAAUCAGGAAUUACAUUGAAAAAGACAAAACUCAGGUCUCAAAAUUUCUCAUCGUGCUCACAGAAACAGUAGAACAAACAAAUAACCCAAGACCUAUAUUAAAGUAUCAAAAAAAAAAAAAACCCCUAUGAUUUCUUGUUCCCAAUCCAAAAUCCCAUCUUUCACCUUAUAUUGCUCCCAAAAAACAGAACUUUAGAUUGAAAGAAAUAAAAUCCCAUUUCCCGAAACCCUAAACCCUUAUCAUAAACGACUAAGCCUCAAACCCUAAACCUAAUUAACCAUUUUUAGUGAAACUUAAAACGAAAGGAAGGCUCAACUAUCCAAGUAUCAAACAAAAACCCUAGUGAGAUGUCGUUUAAACCUUGGAUUGGAUCCACGCAUCCUCAUCGAACUCCCCCUCCUCCUUGCCGCGGGGGACCGCGGCGGCGACCUUGGAGGGGAGCUGGUCGUAGGUGUGCGCCACCGCGGCCUCAUCGAAGCCGUCCAUCCGGAGAUCGGACGGCGCCAGCGCCCGCACCCCGCACCGCCCCUCCACGAGGGCGCGCCACGCGGGACCCACCCCGCACCCCAGCGGAGUCACCGCUCCCAACCCUACUUUUUCAUUGCUCGUUGGAUCAGAUGCGAUGGGGACGGUGGAGACCGAGAAGAGGAUUAGGGUUUUGGAGGGGAUUAGGGUUUUGGAUACCUGUCACCACGACGCGGCGGAGGGGGGCGGCGCGCGGCGGCGGAGGGAGCGGCGCCGACGAGAAGAGGCGGCGGAGUAGCUUCGCGGUGGUGGCGCUCAUUUUUUUUGGAUUUUUUUUUUUUUUUAGUUUAAAAUACAUAAAAUUCUUUAUAAAUAAAUUCACAAUUUCUCACCUUUGUUUUGUGACAUUCCAAAACCUUUAUAAUAUAAUUUACUUAUUACAGUGUUAACGAAGAAAGUAACAUAAUUAAAUUAUUCUUGUUUAUUAUUAUAUAAAUAAAAAGUAAUUUUUAAAUAUAUUUUUAUAUUUUUUAUAUUUUAUUCCGUCGACAUUUCAAGUUCGAGUUGUUGCAUUUAGCCUCCAUUUGUUAGGAUUUUAUCGUUAUUUCGUCCAUUUUUUAUAAUUUAUACUAAAAAUAUUUUUCAAAAUAAUAAAAAUAUAUUAAUUUUUUUUUUUCUUAUAGAAAAAGUAAAGAUAAUUUGAUCAUUUUUUUCUCCAUAAAUGGCUUAAUGUUGUAUCUUAAAAAAUAUUUUUUAAAAUUUUAAGAGAACAUAAUAUAAGCUUUUAAAAAUCAGGAAAUGAAAGUAAAAAGCGAAUAUUUAUAGGAGGGUUUUAUGUAAUGUAGCCUUUUAUAUUUUUAAACUUCUUUUAAAAUAUAUAUAUAUAUAUUUAAAAUUUUAAGUUGGAUGUAUUUAUUUAAUUCUUGAUUCCAUUACUAUUUCGUUUAUUUUUUAUAAUUUAUAUCAAAAAUAUUCUAUAAAUUUUUAAAAAUUAAAGAGAAAAAGUGAAAAAAUAGAUAUUUAUAAAAAAAAAAUCUAUAAUUUAGCCAAAAUAAAGAAAAUGAGUAUUUAUAGAAAAUUUUCUAUAUUUUAGCUUUUUUUUAUAUUUUAUGAGAAACCAAAGUAUGAGAAAGUAACUAUGAAUAUCCCACCACUUACUAAUAAUUUAUUCACAAUGCUCCAAAUUUUUUAUAUACUGUGUUGAGUAACCCUAAUAAAUAGAGUAGGCAAUAAACACAGCAAAUUUAAGCCUAAAUAGAGUAAGCAUAUAUAGCUUUUACAAUACCAUUAUUGUUCAAACAAAACCAACUAAGCCAAAAACAUAACACCCUAAAAAUGUUUUGGGUCAACUUGAUGUUGUUAUCAUAGAGCUACAAAACAUAAGCAGCAGCAGCAGCAGCAGCAGCAGCAGCAGCAGCUAGAACCAACUUUCAAGCAAACAAGCUCAUGCUGCUAAGAAGACCCACAGCAAACCACACUAGCCAGUAUGCCUUCAAACCGGCCGAGCCUGACGGCUUGGGCCCCUCUGCGAUUGCCCGAGUAACGGCCGGUUCGACCGCCUUCUUGGGCUCACUAGACUCGGGUCGGUUCGCCACAUCGACGUGCAACUUGAGCCCGUUUCGGCAGUUCUCGGGCUUGCUGCUCGUGAAGUAACGGGUCCCCUCUUCUUCGAGCCUCACCUUGUCGAGCCCGCCUGUGUAGAGCCUGAUCGGGUUGGUUAGGUCGCAGGACUCGAACUCGUCGCGGGUCCGCAGCUCUACGAUGCUGUCGCGUGACGCGGAGUACGCGAACCCUGCCGAGAAUGAAGUUCAAAUGCUCAAUAAAAUUAUAAAAUAUUGAGUGGUUCCGCACGCAACUUCUACGGAUUCGAGCGAGGGUUAGAGGCACACAAGGGAUAUCUGAGAUAAGAUCAUGACUCUCGAUUUCUAAGUUUGUGACCAAAACAAGCCAUACCUGCUCGAUCUCAACGACAAUCAACGGAGCAAACUCUUUUACACAAAAAUAUAAGUGUUUAGAAUUGGUUUUUGUAGUCCCCCUUUGGCAUUCAAGAUUGGAUAGGAAGGAUACAACGACGAGAGCAAUGUUGCGGGAAAGGGAGAGUUCCGCAGCUCGAAUCCACAGUCCAAUUACAAUCCCAUUCAAUCUCAACCUCUAAGGUGGAUUCGGUAAUUAAGUUCCGCGAGUUUCUCUAGAUAUGCAUCCGAGUUGCUAAACUCUAUUAUCUUCGACCUUCCAAUCCAAUCCUGGAUGCCAAAACAAACGGACGAGAUAUAUAUAGCCUUCAACUCGAUAUAAGCUAAUUUAUAAGCGGCAGCAAAUAAGCCGAAAGCUAUGGCUCAACUAUGUAGCAAACAAACAUCAAUAUGUAAGUGUCUCAACUUGGUCCUACCAAGAAUCUUGAUACAGCUAAAUGACAAAACAAAAAGAAAAUGCGACAAAUCACAUCCUUAAUUAGAUAUUUCCCAUAGGGUUUUUAUCUGGCUUUUCAGCAAAAUAGAUCUCGCACGUAGAGUUCAGCACCUUGGUUGAUUUGUUUAUGAAUUAUUUGCGAGUGUUAACUAAUUAUACACCAUUCCUAGUAUCUGCCAGAUAACUUUGACGUAUAAAUCUAAUGCAAUCUCAAAUCAGUAUCAUGUAAAGUCAAGAACAACCCAUAUUAAUUCAAGAAACUCAACUCAAUUGAGACACUAUUAGUUUAGACACCCAUAUUUAUAUACCUGUGUAGGUGUGGUAUACAUUUUUGAGCCUCUUCGCCCUAAAAAUUUUAUACCACAUGAAGUCAAGUCCGAUCAAAAUGACGCGAGUUCAGAGCUCUUCAUUUAGUGGAUACGCCUUUUUCUUUUAACUUGAUAGGAUGUGGGACUAAAGCGUAAGUUGGAAAUGCAUUGCCGAAAUACACCCACUUUGAUGCUCAAGAGGGACGAAGAACUCCAAAAGCACUUUAGAGCUUUCCUCCUCCGAUGUUAUAAGAUGAGGGCAGUUACCACCACUAAUUCAUCGCAUCGUCGGAGGAGGAAAACCCGAAAGCACUUUCGAAUUUUUUUUGACCCCCUAAAGUAGAAAGGGGGUGUAUUUGGACUGCUAAAGAAUGUGAAACAACCGUUGUUCCCCAAAACCUAAAGCUGUUAGAGAACAUUAUCUUCGUACUCGACCACCAAAAGAAACUCUAAGGAUGUCCAACGCCUCAUUCCUUUCUCCAUCUCUGCCAUCCUCAGACUACCGAGGGGCCAACCCUCCGCCACCGACGGAGAAUGCUAGAGGUCAACAACGCGGUGGCUCCCCAGGAGCCCGACGGCGUGGGGGAAUGUGGAACAAUCAUUAUUCUCCAAAAGCUUAAACGGUCAGAGAACGGUGUUUUAACAUUUUAUAUCAGUAUGGCCACCGCACUCUCAAACUAGACCUAAUUGUUGGGCCUUGGGAGACGCGCAACUAGGGAUUGUAAGAACAGGGCAGGUCAAUCACCAGCAAGUUCAUUUGUGAAUGAGGGGGGGGGGACAUUAAAUAUUGAUAGGUUAUGCUCAUAAUAAGAUUUUUCAUAUAACAGUAUAAUCAGUAGAAAAGGCCAAUAAGCUUUGUUCAAAGUUGUGAACUUGAUGCCUAAAACUAUAUCACUUAGAAGUAGAUUAUUACGUUGUGCACAGUGCACUUCCUAUGUUUCUUGUUCUAUUUGGCUUAUUCAUAAUUCUGGAAGGAGAAAAUAAGUCCACAUCAGAAGCAUUAAAAGUUACAUUAAAAUGCUACCAGACAUCUCGAGUAAAAUCCUCUGAAAUUAACAAAAAUGAUAAUAAAUAAAUUAAAGGGGGAAAAAGAAAGUGCCUCACACAUCCUUGAACUUCCGAACUUCGAAAACAACAUAAAACCGUCCGAACAAUCUUCUUUCUCUUUCUUUUGUCCGGUACAUAACAUAUUGUUCAGACGAUUUCAUGUCAUCUUUUAAAGUUCAUGAGGUGAUCUCAAUUCGCGCUAAAGUAGGCGAAUUUGUGGCUUUUUCUCACCCUAGAAAAAGAACACUCUGUGAAAGAGUAUUUGAAGAGCAUAAGCCUACUCUUUCACAAGUCUUAAAAAACUACGACUAAUUCAACAUGCAUGUAUAUGUAUAUAUAAUAAGAUCUUCUCUCUCUCUCCAAUCAAAUAUUCAUACUCAUCCAAACAGAUCAAAUCAAGUUAAAAUCUCAUCUCAUAAGAUAUUAUAAGUAUUUAAAUUUAAUUAAAAAAGGCUCUUAAUCACUCAAAAAAUAGGUAAAAUUUUUCAUCUCAAUACCUCCUUUUGCAUUUCUACUUCACUUCCUCAGUGUCAUAAAUUAAGUUCAUAAGUGUCAUUAGUUUAUUAACUAGAUUAUGUUCUUGUCCACAAACCCUCACAAACAUUGUACAUAUAUAUAUAUAUAUAUAUAUAUAUAUAUAUAUAUAUUAUAAGAGAGAGAGAGAGAGAGAGAGAGAGAGAGAGAGGGGUUCUUACAGAGGUGAUUCUCCAACCAUGAAGGCCCUACCAGAUGGCCCAGGAGGAAACAUCAGAGGAGGGAAUCCACCCUUGAUCCCACCAACACACAUGAUGGACCACCCCUUCCCGUGCUUCCACUGCAGCCCCACAAAACCCUCCUAGACCCUGAAACCCCUAACCCUAAGAUUUAGACCUCCAUUGGUUGCACUGCUAGUAGUAAUAGCCCAAGAGAGAGCAGCAAGGAGUGUAGGGCAAAGAGACCAGCCAUGGAUGAGAAGCAACAAGAAAGGGGAGUCAGGAGGAGUGUGGUGGUUGGGUGGAUUGGUUGGUUGUGUGCCAGUGGGGCUUCAAAGAAAGGGAUUGUGUGGGAGAGGGAUAGUGCUAAAAACCCUACUCUCUCCUCUCUCUCUCUCUCUCUCUCUCUCCUCCGCAGGGACGGUAGACUCGAAUCAAAACCCACCCGAACCCAAAUUGAUUAUAUAUAUAUAUAUAUAUAUACAGCUUGGCUGGUAUUAUAUCGGGCCUCCGUGUUACCAACUUGUUUUCAAUGAUACGCGCUUCCAAAUCGACGAUUGGCUUCCAUUAGACUGAUCUACACAUAUUAAAAAUAUUUGAACUAAUUUCAUAAUUUUUCAGCAUCAUUUACUAUCAAAUGAGUAGUCUAAAAAUGAACGCUGGAAAUAAAAAUCUUAUAAAAAAUGAUAAUAAAAUACUUAAUUUAAGAUCAGAGGUAUUGAUCUUUACUCAAUAGUGAAAAAUUUUCUAUAAAAAUUUCAUCAGAUUUAGAUUGUUUUACACCGUUAAAUUCACACGCAUCAAUCUACCAUUAAAAUUUGUCAUUUUGAGACCUUUGAUCACUAGCCAAAUGAUGUCAGAAAAAUUAUGAAAUUUAUUUUCAAAUAAUUUCAAUAGUGUAGACCAAAUCAAACGAAUCGAAAAUUGUCAAUUUGAGACCUUUUGAUCACUAGCCAAAUGAUGUCGAAAAAUUAUGAAAUUUAGUUUCCAAUAAUUUCAAUAGUGUAGACCAAAUCAAACGGAAUCGAUCGUCGAUUGAAAGCCGCAUCAUUGAAAAAAACUUGAUAGCAACGAAGCCUCCGUGCUACCGAAAAUAUACCGACCUAUGCUCAUAUAUAUAUAUAUAUAUACGUUGAGCUGUAAUACUAUCGGAUAGCAAUCCCACUUUUGCCACGCCAUUUGUUUUCGUGAUGGAGCCUCAAAAUCGACGAUCUGCACCGUUGAACAUGAUCUAUACACUUGAAUUGUUUAGAAAUCAAAUUUCAAAUCUUUUCGACAUCAUUUGCCUGAUGAUCAAAGGGUUUCAAAUUUGUAAUUUUAAUGGCCGAUAUGAGGCGUUUCUCGUUUAACGGCGUAAAGAUAUCCAAUCAAUUGAAUUUUUGUUAGAAAAUUCUUUAAAACGAUAUUAAAACAAGAUCUAUACUCUUGAUCUUGAUUACAAGACUCCUAUCAUCUUUUUUUAAAAAUAUUCAUUUCAGCCGUUCAUCUUUGUGUCACUCGAUGAGUAAGAGAACAAUAUCGAAACUAUAUGAAAUUUGAUUCUAAAUACUUCAAAUGUAUAGAUCAUAUUCAACGAUGCCGAUCAUCAAUUUGGAGGCUUUAUCAUCGAAAACAAAUAGGUGGCAAAAGUGCCUGAUUUGUUAUCGAUAGUAUUCUUAAAAAGCUAACUAUAUAUAUAUAUAUAUUAUAUAUAUAUAUAUAUAUAUAUAUAUAUAUAUUAUAUAUAUUAUAAUAUAGUAUAUAGAGCUAGGCUGGAUAUACAUCGGUAGCACGGAGGCUCCGUGCUACCAAGUUGUUUUCAAUGAUGCGGCUUCUAAAUCGACGAUCGACUCCGUAGACUUGAUCUACACUAUUAAAGUAUUUGGAAACUAAAUUUCAUAAUUUUUUCAGCAUUAUUACCUUUCAAACGAGUAGUCUAAAAAUGAACGGCUGAAAAUGAAAAUCUCAUAAAAACAGUGAUAAAGAAUUCAAAAUUCAAAUCGGAAGUAUUGGUCUUCGCUAUUGAUGUUAAUAGAAUUUUCUAUUAAAUUUUCAUCUAAUUUGGAUACUUCUAAACGUUGAACCUAAAAACGCAUCAAUCUACCAUUAAAAUUGUUAAUUUUUGGAACCUUUUUUUGAUCACUAGCCAAAUGAUGUCGAAAAAUUAUGAAAUUUUGUUUCCAAAUACUUUUAAUAGUGUAGAUCAAGUCUACAGGAGCCGAUCGUCGAUUUGAAAGCCGCAUCAUGAAAACCACUUGGUAGCACGGAGGCCUCCGUGCUACUGAUAGUAUACAGCCUACUCUAUAUAUAUAUAAUAUAUAUAUAAUAGGCUGGAAUACUAUUAAGUAGAAAAUGAUUUUUCGCUAUCAAGUUUUAACCCUUGGAUGAAAAAUUGUAGGGUCAGAAUGAUAUUAAGUCGAUUAGAGUUGAGUGGUCCCUAGGGUUGAGUGGUCCCCACUGGUUAUAGUAUUUAAUCCAAUGGUUAGAAAAUAAUGAAAAGAGUUAAUCCAAAGGCUAAAAACUGUAGCAAUAAUGAAAUUUUGCUACUAAUAGUAGCCCAGUCCAACUCUAUAUAUAUAUAUAUAUAUAUAUAUAUUAUAUAUAUAUAAUAUAUAUAUAUAUUAUAAUUAGGCUACUAUGCUAUCUAUAGUACUGCAGCUUCGGGUACUAUAAUCUUGUUUUCGAUCUUAGGGUGUUUAAAUUAACGAUCCACACCUGUAAAUAUGAUCUGGAUAAAUGAAGUUCUUAGCAAUCAAAAUUUUAGUUCGACAUCGUUUACUAGUAAUAAAUUAUGUCAAAAUGGACGGUAGAAAUUGAAUAAUCUUUAAAAUUUAAGUAUAGGACUUUUAAAUUCAAGAUCAAGAAUGUUAACCUUAAUCUAGAUAGUUUAAAGUAUGUUCUAUCAAAAUUUGAAGAAAUUUAGAUUCUUGUACACCGUUAAACUCCAAACUCGUCAUAAUAGCCAUUGAAAAUUGACAAUUUUGAAAUGGUUUUGAUCAUAAAGUAAACUAUGUCGAAAAAAUAUAAAAUUUUAUUUUUAAAAACUUUAAAUAUCCUAAAUCAGUUUUGACGGUGUGGAUCAUUGAUUUGAACACCCGAAUAUCGAAAACGAUAUUAUAAUACUAGAGCCCCGGUACUAUAAAUAGUAUAGGAGACUAGCUCUCUCUCUCUCUCUCUAUAUAUAUAUAAAUAUUUGAUGUUAUAUUUAAAUUAAUAUUUUAUAAAUUUAGAUUAAAUGUAAUAUAUUUUGAAAUAUUGUAAAGAAAAAUAGUUGUGUCAGGUUCGUGUUUUCGGGUUCGGGUAUUAGAUUUUUGGUCGGAUUCGAAUUUGUAUAUGGAUUUUUAAGAUCCGCCAUAUUCGGGUUUGAGUUCGGAUUUCGGGUUUGAUAGUUGAGUUCGGAUUCGAAUAUUAUAUUUUCGCUGUCUGUCGAAAAAAUCUAAAUCUGAAGAGUAAUUUAUCUGAUACUAAAUGGAUAUAGUUUCAGAUAUAGAUAUCAAAAAUAAAAAUCUGACGGAUUUGAAUUCGGGUAUGGAUUUUAACUGUAGUACCCAACUCGAAUCAAAACCCGACCUAAACCCAAAUUGAUUAUAUAUAUAUAUAUAUAUAGCUAGUCUCCUAUGCUUUCGAAAGUACGGAAGCAUCCGUACUUGUAAGUUGUUUUCAAUAAUGGAACAUCCAAUUCGGUGAUCGGUUCCGUUAGACAUGAUCUACGCUAUUAGAACUACCUAGAAACCAAAUUUCAUAAUUUUUUGACUUCGUUUGUCUAGUAAACGAGUAGCCUCAAAAUAAACGGCUAAAAAUAAAAAUCUCAUAAAAAACAGCGAUAAAGGACUCAAAUUUCAAAUCAAAAGUAUUGGUCUUGCUAUUGAUAUUAAGUAGAAUUUUCUAUUAAAUUUUCAUCUAAUUUGAAUACUUCUACACCGUUGAACUUAAAAACGUGCCACAUCGGCAGUUAAAAUAGUCAUUUUUGAUACCUUUUGAUCGCUUAGUAAAUGAUGUCGAAAAUUAUAAAAUUUGGUUGCUAAAUAGUUCCAAUAGAGUAGAUUAUAUUUAACGGAGCAGAUCGUCGAAUCAGAUUUCCUAUCAUCGAAAACAACUUACAAGCACGGAAGUCUCCGUACUUUCGAAAGUACAGGAGACUUAAUAUAUAUAUAUAUAUAUAUAUAUAUAUAUAUAUAUAUAUAUAUAUAUAUAUAUAUAUAAAAUUAGGCUGGAAUACUAUUAAUAGUAAAACGCUCUUUUUGCUAUCAAGUUUUUAACCCUUGGAUGAAAAAUUGUAGGGUUAGGAUGAUAUUAUCGGUUAGAGUUGAGUGGUCCCCACUGGGUUAUAGUAUUUAAUGCAAUGGUUAGAAAUAAUGAAAAGAGUUGAUCCAAAGGCUAAAAAUUGUAGUAACAAUGGAAUUUGCCUACUAAUAGUAGCCCAGUCCAACUCUCUCUCUCUCUCUCUCUCUCUCUCUCUCUCUCUCUCUCUCUCUAUAUAUAUAUAUAUAUAUAUAUAUAUAUAUUUAUGUUAUAUUUGAAUUUAUAUUUUAUAAAUUUAGAUUAAGGGCGUGUUUGGUUCGUUUCUUUUUUACCAUGGAAUCGAAAUCGGAAUAGGUGAAUCCGUUUGUGGAUGUUUGGUAUGCGGGAGUCUCAUUCUGAUUCCGAUUCCUGAGUGGAAUGGGAAUCCCCCAGUUCCAUUCCGAUUCCGAUUCCCGAGUGGAAUGGGAAUCCCCCAUUCACUUUUUUUUCCAAUCCGGCCUAAAAGGCCGGAUUAGAAGUUGAAUUCGGACAGAAUGGAUAUUUAUUCGGAUUAAAUUUAUUUUUUUAACUUUUUAAAUUAAAAUAUGAGUUUAAAUUUAGAAAUUAAAUUUUAAAUUUUAAAUUUUAAUUUGAAUUUGAAUUAAAAAUUAAUAUUUAAUCAAGUAUUUUGAAUCUAACUUAUAAAUUUUAAUUUAUAUAAAGUUCUAUUCAAAUUAUAUUUAAAACUUAAAUUAAAUUUAUGGAUUCAAAUUAAAAUUUAAAUUGUAAUUUGAAUUUGAAUAAAUCAAAAUUUAGUUUUAUAUUUUGAAUUAUCCACUCAACUUCAAAGUUUUAUUUUUUUAAAAAAUAUAUAUUUAAAAUUUUGACAUUAUUUAAAAUUUUGAUAUAAAUUUUUAAUAUUUAAUUUCAAUUUAAAUUUAAAUUAAUAUAUUAUAAAGAUAAAGUUAGCAUAUUAAUUUGAUUACGUUUUUUAUAUCUAUCUGAACCAAACACCAACAAUAGAAAUGAUUUAUUUCGAUUCUGAUUCAGAUAAUGAACCAAACAGAAUUAGGUAAUGAGUUAUUCCGAUUCUGAUUCCAGCUUAUUUCGAUUCCGAUUCCGAUUCUGAUUCCAACUUCAAACCAAACGCGCCCUAUAUGUAAUUGACUGAAUAUAGAUGAUGCAACACAAUUCCUGUAUAGCAGGCUUCCUCCUAUUUGGGGCGGAUCGGGGUGGGUGCUCCAUAAACUCGGAUCCAUUUGCAUCCAUUUGAGUUUAUGGUUACAAUCAUAGUUAGUUACUUUGGAUUCGACAAAAAUCCUGUAAAGGUAUUAAUGCGAAUAAAAUUUGUAUUUCAAUUUAUAAAUUCAUUGAAAAAUACGACUUAAAAAUGGGUUCGUCUAUUAUUAGGAUAUGUGAUUUAUAUAGAAAUUGUACGUUCACCAAUUAGAAAUUCUAGAUAAAAAAUUCGGCUAUUAAAUUACAAUAUUUUAUCUAAAUUUAUACUAAUAGCAUAAAUAAUUAUAAUUUUUAAGAAUAUAAAAAUAGAGAGCUACAAAAUAGAAUAGAUUAAUUAAAAAAACUAAUAGCAAAGUUCAUUGUCGUCCUCAUCUUCAUCUUUUUCAUGAUCUACAUAUUCCAAACAUUCAUAAAAAUUUUUAAUAAUUUGUCAAUAAUUCGUGAAUUAAUUAAUUAUGCCGAAGAAAGGAAUUUUAUCCAAAAGAUCUGCUUAUUUUUUUUGGCCAAUUUACGAAUAAUAUAUCUAAUCCAAAAAUUUACAUUUUAUUCUUAUUUAUUUUUUAAAAAUCAUAUACAGAUCAAAAAUCAAAAUAAUAUUUGCCACCACAUGAUUUGCUGUAGUGAAAUUCUCAAUUUGGACUGCAUAGACUCAACCACUGUGUGCCUGCUGUCGUCGCUCUAUCUGGUGCGGGCGCUGAAGCUAGACCUGGCAAUCUCGACCCAUACCCGCGGGUGCCUGCGGGUUACCCGCAAAUUUGCGGGUAUGGGUACCAACUUUUCAAACCCAAAAAAUUACGGAUAAAACGGGUGGGUACCCAUUAAGCUGUGGGCAUUUUGGGUAACCUGCGGGUACCCACGGGUACCCGCUCAUAUACUUUUUAAUUAAAAAAUAUAUUUUCUUAAUUAAAAUACAUAUAUUUUUAUUUAUCCAUCUUAAAAAUUCUAACCCUAAUUUCUUACCGCGUCUUUUAUAUUACGAAAUUUUUUUGUUUUAAGACUUUAAAUAUUUUUAUUGUAUGUUAUGAUAUUUUAAAUAAUGAAUUAUGCUAUAUUUUUAAAACUUAUUUAUAUGCAUUUGCAUUUAAAAAAUAUAAGAGGAAAAAGAAAAAAAAAUUGCGGGCAACCCGCAUACCCAUCUGCCCACCCGCGGGCGGGUAUGAGUAAAGAUGUUGGCUAUCCAAAAAUUUACGGAUAAAUUUUAUCCAUGCCCAAAUAACCCGCGGGUAUAAUGACCCGUCCACGGGUUACCCAACCCACCCGUUUGCCGGGUCUAGCUGAAGCCCUAUCUGCCUAGCUGUAGGUCGGUGGAGCUCCGGUCAUCUGCCGAGAUAUGGAAGGGGCCAACACUGUCAUUCUCGAAUGUGUUUCCCUCUGAGUUGGCUAGGGCUGUAAACGAGCCGAGCUCGAGCGAGCUGGAGCCAGCUCGAGCUCGGCUCGUCGUCUUCAAGGUCGGCUCGUCUUCGGCUCGAGCUCGUCACGAGCUCGAAAACGCCGGCUCGUGAUCGGCUCGCAACUUAUUCGAGCUGGCUCGUGUUCGGCUCGAGCUCGUGGCUAGCACGAAGGGGAGGAAGAAUCAUAGCGGCGAAAGAAGGUGGCGGUGAGGCAGGGGUGGCGGUUGCGGAGAAGGGCGAAGAGGAGGGCGUUAAGGGAGCGGGCGGAGGGGCGGGUGUCGAAGGAGGGGAGGGAGAGGAAGAAGCAGAGAGCGGCUGGGGCAUGAGGUGCGGCCAAGGGCUCGGAUCACAGAUGAGGUGGACGAAGGUGUCCUCGCUAUAGCAGAGGGGAAGGUGAUGCGGCAAUGGGUAGGAGAAGGAGAGGAUGGGGGGAAGAAACGGAGGAGGGAGAAGAGGAUUGGGAGAGGCGGAGGUGCGGAUGAAGAGGGCGAGGCGGCGAGGUGUGAGAGUAGAGCGUGACGAGGGAUUGGGAAUAGAAAUAGUAAAAUUUAUUUCAUGGGCCUGGACUAUGAGUGAAAAAGGAGAAAUUCUGUAUAUAAAUGGGCUAUGGGCUUUUUUUUAUAAAUAAGCUGAGCUUUUUUUUAAAGUUGGGCUAAAAAAUUUAAAAUUAAUAAUCUAUAUUUUAUAUUUAAUAUAUAUAAUAUAUAAAAAUUAUAUUAAUAAAAAAAUAAAUAUAAUCGAGCUGUUAUCGAGCCGAACACGAGCGAGCUGACCCUAGCUCGUGUUCAGCUCGAUAACAGCUCAAUUACAUUUAUUUUAUAUUAAUAUAAUUUAUAUAUAUAAAUAUAAAUUAAAUAAAUUAUAUAAAUAUAAAAUAUAUGUAUUCGAGCUAUUAUCGAGCCGAACACGAGCGAGCUGACCCUAGCUCGUGUUCGGCUCGUUUACUAAACGAGCUGAAAAAUUUAGCUCGUGUUCGGCUCGUUUACUAAAUGAGCGAGCCGAUCUCGAGCUCAUUUCGAGCUGAACACGAGCUGGCUCGCGAACAGCGAGCUGGAUUGCCACCCCUAGGAUGUACCGACCGUCCCUAGCGCAAGUGGCAAAGUUUACGGGUUAAAAGUGUGGGAUGUACCAACUGUCUCUAGCGCAAGUGGCAAAGUUUGGUACCCGAGAUUUCAAGUUCGAAUUCUCGUUGAUUCACAUUUUCAACUAAGUUUAUUUCUAAAUGAAAUAAAUAAAGCGGGUAGCAUGCUGCCUAUCUCUCUCAAAAAAAAAAAGAGAAGAAAAAAGUGAGAGCGUGGGAUGUUAGAUGAGAAUCAAUUACAUGAACUUUUUAUGCAAUUGGGACGUGAGUUGUGAGUAUGUGGAGAAUUUUUUUUUAUUAAUUUUUAGAAAUAAAGAAACGAGAAACAACAAAGAACUAGUGAAAUGAAUUUUUUAAUGAAAGAAGAACGAGAAAUUAUUCCUUUGGGUUCUUUUUCAUUCAUCUGAAAAAAAAAGUUAGAUUUUAAUAAAGGUGUUUCGAAGAUGUAAGUAGGAACAAGGCUGGGUAGGAGGCGAGAGAGAAAGGAUCUCAACUCAACUACAGAUUGUGUCAGAUGGCCUCAGACGCAGCACUUCACCCUUAAAAUGAGAGGGACUAUCUUUAAUUUUUGUUGGGAAAACUUCAAAAACCCCCCCCUAUGGUUUCGUGCUUUCUCACUUUAGUACCCUGUGGUUUAAAACGUAUCAAUUUGCCCCCCUGUGGUUUCGUUUUUCUCUUUUUGUUAUCAAUUUUAUUAUUAUUUUUUUCUUAAAUCAGUGACAAAGUUAAAAUUAAAGGAUACUAAAGUAAAUAUUCGAUAAAUAUAGAUGGUUAUCUGAAGUUUUUUNAACAGCUUUUCUCCUUCACCUUCCCCUCUCUCUCUCUCUCUCUGUACAUAUCUCUUACCCUUUAUUCUCCCCCCACCCUCCUCACACGCACGCCCUGAUUCUUUCCUUCUCCUCCAAACACCAUCUCCAUCUCCUCCCCCCCUCAAUUUAGGGUUUAUACCCAUGGCGAGGAGGGUGCGAAUGUGUUCUUCUUCUUCUUCUUGGAGGAGUGCGAGGACGAGGAAGAGGGAGAGAAGAGGAAGCAAGAUCGAGAUCGUCUUUCGAGGGUCGGAAUCGAGAGGCGAUGUCUUCUUCCCGCGACACGCUGGAGUACGAGCCGACGUGGGUGGUCGCCGCCGUCUGCACCGUCAUCGUCGUCAUCUCCCUCGCCGUCGAGCGCUUCAUCCAUUACCUCGGAAAGGUCUUGUUAUAAUCCAUGCACGCUUAUUAUUAGAGUUAAAUGCAUCAAAACUAGCCGAACUUUCAGUUUGUUUGAUUUGAGUGAGUUGACGGCACUUUGAUUUCAAAAUUUGAGCUAAUUGCUUAUUUAAAUGAAUUUAUAGUCGCGAGAAUUGCAUGAAGAGAUAAAUGACGCAUUCAGAUUUUUGAGUAAAGUGCCGUUGACUGACUCAAAUCAGACAAAUUGAAAUGCUGGGUAGUAAAAUUAAAUUUUUGAAAGGUUGCGUGAUCAAUUCAAAAUAGUCCGUAGUUCAGGUAAGUUCUGCACGUUUCACCAAUUUAGUAUUUGGAACAUGAACUUUGAGAUGGUUGCAGUUAACCAUCCAGGGGACCGUUCGGCUACAAGUAAUUGCAAUUGGACUACAAUUUUAAUUGGAUACAGAUUCAAAUUUAGUGUUUGGUUUGGUGCAUUUGAACCCAACUACUGCCGUUGGAACUGCGUAAUGAGGCUCAACUGCGAUAAUUGGAACUAUAUACGCCCAAAUUUGGCUGUAGUUCCAACUGUAGCAGUUGAAGAUGAUAUUUUUAAACAAGAGGUAAACUUAUCUACUUAAGAUUAUAUUGGGGGUAAUCUUACCUCCCCAUGAAUGAACAAUGAAGUGAUUGAAUUUUGGAUAUACAAUUUCUAACUGCAUACGCCCAAACGAUUAUUUAUAUUUGCAGUGCUUUUCUACUAUAUCUAAUCAAAUAAGAUGCAUGUAGCUAUAUAAAGAUUGUAUUUUUAACCGUUUGUUACAAUUACGUCCGAUCAAAUGGCCCUAAACUUAUGAAUUGCCUAUUUAAAUUGACGGACUUUUUGACCCAAUGAUCAAUGGAUGCUAGCCAUAUAGAUUGUCUUCUUGACGCUACAGAUAUUAGAUUGAAUCUUUAGCAAUCAAAUACUAAAAUUGAUUUUUUAUAACCAGAUUGAGUUUUGACAUCAAGAAGGUCCUUUAUGUUCUUUAUUCUUUAUUGUCUCUUGACUAUUUCACUAGUGUUAGUCUCCUUAAAUUCAGGGAAUAUAAACUUGUGGUUAAUUGCAAAAUUUUGAAUGUUUGAGUGCCGAUGUACAAAAUUUUAAACUGUAGGUGACUGUUUGUAAAUGGGCUGAGGUUCAGGUGUUUCUGGUGCAUUUAUCGCUUUUUUUAUUGGUUAAGCCUACUGUAUUUUUCCCUAAGAGAGUUCAAUUGACGAGACAAAACUUAUGUUAAAUUAGCUUUCUAAAUGCAGUAAAGAGUAAAGUGAGCAUUCUACGUUUAAAUGACUACAAGAGCAGUGUGCUGUUUUUGCUUAUAAGUCUAAGAAAAAUGUCAUUAUUUAGUUUAAAUUCUAUGGAUUGUUUGUUAACUUUAUUUACUUGUAAAUGAUGCAGUUCUUAAAGAGAAAGAAGCAAGAUGCACUUGUUCGGGCUUUAGAGAAAUUAAAAGAAGGUUAGCAUGGUUUGAAACUGUACUUUCUUUUGUUUCAGUACUGUUUAGAUCACAGGUGUUAAUAUUUGCUAAAUGGAAAGCUUGCCUACUUUUACUUAGAGAUGCGCAUUUUAUCAUCAUUUAGACUAAUUUCAUGUUAAUUCUAUAAUUUGGUAAAGAGUCGUUUUCCUUCAUAAAUAUUUACACCGCCUGCUCCUAGACUCUUUUUGUGGCACUUGCUAUUAUUAAGUAACUUUUAUCUCUUUCUUGAUUAAAAUUUUUUAAUUGACUAGCUAAUAUGACCAGGAUUUAAUUGGAGAACUCGUGAGUAUUUCUAUUUCAACGGACGCUAACUACUCUGUAAUUUUUUUCCUUAUUUUAUUUUAUUAUUUAUGUUUCCUCUACCUAAAGGUUUUCUAGUUUCAUCUAUUUCACUGAGAGGUUCAGAGACGACUUUCCAGCUCCAUUAGCAGUUUGUGUGUUGGAAAAAGGAAAUUUUAAAAACUUUUAGGUGUUGCAUUGUUAGCGUCUCUUGUUUUCUUAUUAAUUAGGGCUUUAUGGUAAAAAGAAAGUUCGGCAUAAGAUUGUUUAGAACGUUAUGGGGUUGUUUUAUAUUUGCAUGCAGAGUUAAUGCUUCUCGGAUUCAUUUCUCUUCUAUUAACCGUCUUCCAAGGCCUUAUUAGCCACGUUUGCGUCCCAGAAAGUUUCGUUUCUCACAUGCUUCCAUGUGAGAAGGAAAGCGCCCUGCCUACACAAGAAACUUAUGACCAAUUAGGACUUUAUAAUGGGCAGAAGUGGAAUACAAGGAGGCUCUUGUCCGAAGUAUCCGGUGCUGACUAUUGCACAAGCAAGGUAGAAUUUUUGUGCCUUCAGGAAUCUUUUUUGUAAAAUUAUAAACAAUCAUUUAAAUAAAGGCAAAUAUCAUGAUUUUCACUGUGCCAUCUUGAAAAGUUGAGACUUAUUUCUACCCCCCCUUAAACUACAAGUUUUCUGUCACUUAUCCUUCCUCCUCCAGUGUUCCUUACUUGAUGUAUGCCACUUUGCUUCUUAAGAGGGUAAUGUAGAAGUUCUAAUGUUUCAGGGGACAAUGUGAAAUUUGUGCUAUUUAAUGGGGUUAUCCUACAUUCUAGCUUUUAAAAUUUCUUGCCUUUUUCUUUAAUUUUAUUAGCGUGCUUUCUGUGAUGCCACCUUACUUUGCCCAAAUUUAUACUUAAUAAAGAAUUAUAUGAAUUUCUGCAAAAGUAGUCUUGAUAACUGUCUUGAAGUUUGUUGCAAAUACUGUUCUUUUUCGUUUACCUUUUUUUAACAAAAUAGAGCUACUUUAAAGAGAAUAACUUGAGUUGGUUCAGUAUAGAAGUUGAUUUUCUACGUUUCCUCGUCCAUUAUUAGCAAGUAAGCUUUAGAAGCCUUUUCUACUACCUGCAUUUUUGAACUCAUUAAGACAAACGAGCAAUCUUCGUUGAAAAUUUAGGUUAAUCACGAUGCAUUACUUAAUUUAUUAUAAUGGUUUUGUACACAAUACUGAACCCUCCUGCUAGAUAUGCUUAGAAGGUCCUUUACAAUUUGACUGGCUUUAAGAAUGAAUUAUUUAUCUAUUUAAACUAGUUACAAUUUUCUUUAAAUGCUUUUACUCGAUCUGUACAUCAUCUUCUGAUUGUAGGACGAGAAACCGUUGUUAUCACUUGAGGCAUUACACCAACUGCAUAUCUUUAUCUUUGUACUUGCGGUUGUCCAUGUUAUUUUUAGUGCUUCCACAAUGGUUCUAGGAGGAGCUAAGGUAUAUCUUCGAGGCUUUGAGCACAAAUAACAUUGCUAGAGAAAGGAACCAAAGUUUUAUCUUUCUUUUUUUUUUUUUUGAAUUUUUUGUAGAUUAGACAGUGGAAGCAUUGGGAGAAACAAAUUCAGCGGGACAUCCCAAAACAGGAUAUAGGUAAUAUCCUUUUUUUUAAUGUUUUCUUGGUUUACUUUUAUUUAUGCUGUCGGUUUCUUUUCCUUUUCUUGUUUUUUAAAAUAGAAGCCGCACAAAAACCAGCAAGUGAACACCAUGAGUUUGUCAAGGAGCGUGCAAUUGGAUUUUGGAGAAGGUCGGCUGUUGUAAGCUGGAUCGUAAGUUAUCGAUCUCAGCUUGUAUGGAAUGAGACAUGUUGUGUAUAUUGAUUAAAUAAGUCAAUCAAUUUCUCAUAUUCUUAUUCUUUUCAAAGAGAUUAUUAAUUGUCCAAUAUGAACUGCUUUGCCUUACUUUCCUAUGCUUCUUAUGUGCUUGGAGAUGCUAAAAUGAGAACUCAAUUCUCUCUCACUCACUACAGAUCUUGGCUACACUUAGUCUUACUUUUUAUUGUCUUUUUUUUUUUUUUUUUACUUGAUAGAAUUGCUUACGACUGCAAUUUUCAACUUUAGUAUGGUUUAAAUUUGGUUGAAAAGGUGAAGUACUUGUUAGCACCGGGUGUCACUAUUUGGGUUGUUGACACGAGGGAUUGAUAUGCCGCUGGCAUGGAGAUUUUGUAUACCGCACUUCGUCAGAAGGACACUAUAAUUGCAGUAAAUGGCUUAAUUCCAACACUAAGAUUUGCAUCUUAUGUGAAAAAAAUGACAUGGAAGCCAUCAUCAAAUGUUAGAGAUACCCUUUAUUGGGUCUCAUUUCCAUACUAUUUUGCUUUUCAUGCAAACUUUUCGGUAUUAUCAUUCUUACAUAGGUCGAAAACUUCACCGGAUCAGAACAGUGAUAGGAAUAUUAAGUGAUAUAAGUUUUGAAAACCAUAUUUGAUUAAUAUAGGUUGGGAUAUGAAUCAAUGUCGGAUGUAUUCACAUCUGUUUCAAAUUUUGAUAAAUAGAAUACAAUCUAUAUUGCAUCAGCAUUACAUGGAACUUAACAAGUAAGGACUUGCGAAAAGGUAUGAACUGUAUACAUAAUGUUAUUAAGAGUUGAGCAAAAUCAUUCAAUUCACUAUUCAUCAAGAAAACUACAUUGUAAACAUGAUUCCUUGUUUGUUAACAUCUGGAAUAUCUUUUAGAGUGGUGGUUUUUGUGUUUUGUAGGCAAAUUGAUUUGGCCAUUUUCAUAGCCGCAAAAGUACCGGAUCAUCUGGGUGCUUUUUGGAAAAUAAUGCAUGCUAAAAGCAUUACUAAUAACUCUUACAUUUAUCUCCACCAUCUGCAAAUGAAUUGUGUUCAGCACUGAUAAAUCUGUUACCACAAAACAAAAUUUAGACAUCUAUUAUUUUGUUAAAGAUUUUAUUCCUUCAAAAUCUUUAUUGGUAGCAUCCGAUAAUGCCAGAUUUACAGAAAUAAUUCAUAUGUUCUUGAUCCUUUUUGAUUCUAGAUAUCCUUCGUCAAGCAAUUUCAUGAUUCGGUCUCGAAAUCAGAUUACAGAGCAUUAAGAGCAGGAUUCAUCAUGGUAAAAAGCUCAACAGCAUUCUAAAUUGUGAUCGUUGAUUUUCUUGUAUUUACUGCACAUGGUUUUACUAGUUGGAGAGGACAUUGAUGAAUUGUUUUAAUUUUUUUAUUAUAUGAGACUCAUUGGCCGCGAAAUCCAAAGUUUGAUUUUCACGACUACAUGAUGCGUGCUCUUGAGGAUGAUUUUAAAAAAGUUGUCGGCAUAAGGUAAUUUCCAUAAUAUGCAGCUUGCCAGAUAUUCCUUGUUGAAAGUGAUCUUGCUUUUAAGGGAGGCUGGUAUUUUGAACAUAUGAAUUUCAUUUGCAGCUGGUAUCUCUGGCUCUUUGUCGUCAUCUUCCUGUUGCUGAAUAUAAAUGGUAACUUAGAAAUAAUGGUGAUUUUUUUUUUUUUUUUUUUUGAGGUAAGAAUUUGUGCUUAGGUUUGAGUUUCUGUCUACUUACGGUCAAGUUAAUGAUAGAGCUUCUAGUGCUUUUCGUGCAAUUUUUGUAUGGUGUCGGAAAUUUUUAUUUUUUAUUUAUAUAUUUAUAUUUUUUUGUUAAUUGAAUUGUGACCUGGGCUUUUAAAUUUUUAGCCAUAGUGAAAACUUAAUUAUUCUUCCCUUGCAGGAUAUUAUGUUUAUGAGGCCAAAGUGAUUUACUACAUUGUGAGAAAAAUGAAUUAGAGGCCAUAUAUAGUGCAGUUAGAGUUGUUGUCAUCUUGAUUAUUCUGCUUUUUUUUAUUUUUAUUUUAUUUUCCUGAACAUCUUUACUUAACAAUAUGACUCUCUUAAAAGAGUUGAAUAAUCGCUUUGCUGAUAGAAGUUGUUUGGUGCAAUAGAGAUGUAUUUGAUAACAAAUACAUAAUUGCUCUCUCAUUUUAAUGGAUCCUUGGAAUGGCAAUGGAAAGAUAAAUGAGCGGUAAAUUAAAAACUAUGAAUGGAAAUUCUGAAUAAUGAAUUUGAUAAGCAUCGUAACUCGUGAGGUUUGAGUCGAAAAUAACCUUCCACUUAAUUAACGUAGUUCAAUACGAUUCAGCUAUCCAGAUUAAGGUUUUCUUUCUUUCCUUGUCCUUCAGAAAAUUUCUCAGAUCAUACGUGGGAGACGGCUAAUUAUAGAUUGCAUUGGUCGCUUUGGAUAGUAUCUCUAUAUUUAAUAUUUAGUUUUGCUGGAAAAUUUUAUUAUAAAUACGUAUGUUUCCGUCAAUCCUAAAUUGGUGUAUUUUAUGUUAUGGUUGCGCAGUCCAAUCUAUUUCAUAAUUUAUGUUGCAAUGCAGGUUGGCACACAUACUUUUGGUUAUCGUUCUUGCCUCUUCUUGUAAGUAUCGAGAGCUCUGUUAGAAUAUCACUUCGUUUUUUAAGUAAUUUACUCUGCCAGUGUCUCUUUCGCUACGAGGUUAUAGCUUUAAUUGCAAGUUGAGCUUUUAUUUGAUUUCCAAUUUUCAUAAAAAAUCAGCAAAAAUAUGCUUACCUGUACUAUGGUGCAUUUUCAAAUCGGGAGUCUAAAUUUCAGAAUUUUGAUUUAAAUAUCUAGCCUUACAGUAUAUUUGAUUCUAAUUGCCUCUUCGAGUCAAAACACUAACAGUACUCUUUUUUUUAAACAAAAAAACAGAAUAGAUUGCAGCCUAACUGAAUGUUCUGUUGCUCGGCGGAAUAUUGUAUUUCUUGACAGAAUUUUCUGUAACCCUUUUUAGGGGAAAACGUUUAGUUGGACAGAACUUGACAGAAUUUUCUCAAGUUAUAAAUACUAAAAGCUAGAUAGUAAAAUCAAAAUUCGUCGAUUUCUGGUACCCAUCUCAAAAUGUGUAUAGGUCAGGUGAGGAAUGUACAUUUCUUUUACCUAACUAGUAGAUUUUACACUGACUCGAAGAAAAUUGUUAGCUUCUGCUCAUAGUUGGUGCGAAGCUAGAACACAUAAUAACUCGGUUGGCUCAAGAGGUGGCGGAGAAACUAAACGAUAAAACACACGACGCACUAGGAGUGAGAGUGAGGCCAUCUGACGAGCACUUCUGGUUCCAGCGGCCCCGCAUCGCCCUUUACUUGAUCCAUUUCAUCUUAUUUCAAAACUCCUUCGAGAUUGCAUUUUUCUUCUGGAUAUGGGUAAUUGCAUCGGGGAACCUCACCUGGGGCCUGUUCGCCUUGAAUGGAGCUUCUGCAGAAGUGCUUUUUGUGAUAAAGAAUAGUUCUAAGCACUUACUCUAUUUUGUAAUUAAGAUCCAAAGCUUCCAGCUAUAUCAAAAGCAAAAGUUUCAAAUUUUAGCUUAUGCUUUUGGCCUGAAAAGCUCAAAUGAGCUUCCCAUUUAAGCAAUAGCUCUGGACAUUUUCGUUGUCCGGCACUUGGCUAUUGCUUCUUGGAAUAGAGAAGCUGCUCAAGAAGCCAAGGCGAAUAGGCCGUCAAAUUUUUCUUGAAAUACAUGGCCACUGAUCGUUCCCUAAAAUUUUGCAGACCACCUAUGGAUUUGACUCGUGCAUCAUGGAAAGUAUUGGCUAUCUCAUCCCCAGACUCGUUAUAGGGUUUGUGACUUUUAAUUAUGAGAACAGGAAUUUUAUUUUCCUAUUCGUCACUAAGCGACAAAAUAGGAUUCUCACCUUUUUAAUUUUUCUUUUUAGCCAACAUUUAAUCUGUUGUUUUAUCAAUGGCAGCGUGCUCAUACAAGUGCUCUGCAGCUACAGUACUCUUCCUUUGUAUGCCAUUGUCACUCAGGUACUUAACCCUACGUAUUAUUCGGAAAUCAAAAUUUUCUCUUUCUAGAGCUUCCACAGAAGUGUAGUUUGAAUAGAGCUGGUCAUCGAAACUCGCUGUGGCUUCAAGCUCUUACUACAAACUUUAGAUUUUUCAUUUGUCGAACACAUAGCUUUUGCUUUUAUAAUAAAGAAGCUGUUUCAGAAACCAGAGCUAAACAACCGCAUAUGGGGCAUUUGGUUUGAUAUAAUUGAAUUUGGCUGCGAUCAAGUUUAGUAAAAGUGGAAAUAUUAGUUUAGCCAUUGACCACCGCGAUACUGAGGAGAUCUGCUUCCUAGCUGUAAGCUCAAUUUCUGAAAAAGACCCAAACUCAUCUUUCAAGAGAAGUCCCUUCUACGAUCACUUGAAUUACUUCCGAAUUGCAAUAGCAUGGAUCCAACUGUUAUGAAUGUGAAUGUUUGUUGGGUCUUACUGACAGAAUUUUAUUGAAUUUCAGAUGGGCGGCACGUACAAAGCCGUGAUAUUCAACGAGUCCACAAAGACACCCCUGCAGGAUUGGGCCGAGGAGGUGCGGCAGAGAAAGAAAAGAUCCAGUCUGCCUUCUCUGUGGGGACUCUUUCGGCGGAAACACAAGGAGCAGAGUCUUUCUGCCACGGAGGUUCAGGUGGUGAGGAUGCAAUCGGAAUACUCCGGAAUUUCUCGUAACUUUCGUCCACCAGCUGAUCUAGGAGUGUAACAAACCUCAACAGGCGAAAACUCGAUCGCAGAAGCUGACUAGCGAAAGGGAGGCAAGAAAGCUGAGGUUUAGGACAUCUACACUGCAGAGGAGACAGUCAGUUGUAUAGGGCCGCGAAUUAUCGGCAACUAAAUGAUGCUUUUGUUUAUCGCAUAUCGCAUAUAUUAUAUAUAUAUAUAUAUAUAUAUAUAUAUAUAUCUCACAUAUAUUAUAUAUAUUAUUAUAUAUUCUACUAGUCUUGUUUUUAUGUUGGAAAUGAAAUUGUAUUUGCUUGUUUGAUGGAACCAUGAUGGUGAGGUGAACUCUUGGGCGCUAAUGUAUGCAAUUUUAAAAAAAAUAACAAUGGGAAUUUAUGUAUUUUCAUGUGGCUAUGGACUGUACUUUCCAGAUCUUCUGCAUGGGAUGUUGAUGCUAUGGAUAUCUAAAAUCUUAUCCGACCCUGAAUCCGAAUAGGGUGGAUUUUAUCUGGUGCUAAACGGAUAUGGUUUCAAAUACAAAUAUAACAAACGAAAAUCCGACGGAUUUGGAUUCGGGUGUAGAUUUUGUCCCUAUCCGAUCCGAAUUUGAAUCCGACCUAAAGCCGAAUUGAUUUUACAUUAUAUGAUAUAUGUAUGAAUGUUUGGUGUUAUAUUUGAACUUGUACUUUAAAAAUUAUACUUUUAAUAUAAUAUGUUUGGAGACAUGGUAAAGAGGUAAUUAUUUCGGGUUUGGGUUUCAGAAUUUUAGUCGGGUUUGAAUAUAAAUUUUCAAAAUCUGUUGGAUUCGCAUUCAAAUGUUGAAAAAUUUGUCCUGAAUCUGACCCAUUGGUAUCCCUGCUACUGCACCUGCAGUAUGGUUUAUUAAUCUUGGGGAUCAAUGCAAUGCAUUUACACCCCUGUAUAUUAGACUCUGUCAAAGAAUACCCUAAACUUUUAAUUUCAACAAUUAGAUUUUCUAAACUUUAUUAAAUUAUGUAAUUGACGCUUCCCCUGAAGCAAAUGUGCUAAUUAGAUGGUCUUAUUAGUGGUUAACAACUAAUAGAGUUAUUAAAUUUGAUAAAAUUUUCUAUCUAAUAUAGCAUAAGAACUCGAAUUUUUUAAGAGGGGUCUCAAUCAAAAGAAUAGAAGCUGAUGGGCCAAAUCAGACUUACUGAUUCUUGAGGGGUCUCGGUACAUUUUUACCCAGGAAAGGUCUUGCGUUCUGAUUGGCUUGGUCCACAGAUUACGUGGCACACCCGGUGCAUAAAGACCUUUUCCCUCUCAAGCGGCCGUGAGCCAUGAACCACCCCCCACCCCAAACCCUUCUCUCUCUCUCUCUCUCUCUCUCUCUCUCUCUCUUCCCCUUUACGCUAAAACCUCCUCUCUCUCUCUCUCUCUCUCUCUCUCUCUCUCUCUCUCUAGGGCUCCACCUCUGCCCCAGGAGUGGAGAUCGGCGGCGGAGACGGCGGGACUCGCCCUGGUUGUGAUUGCGCUGUAGGUUUUCAUCGACGCACCUAGCACUAAACCCACUUCAAAACCCUAGCCUUUUCUGUCCAUUUUUGCGAUCUUCUUAAAGCAAAACGAUCCUUUUUACAAGAAAAAUGUUGUUUUCCUGAUCAAAUCUGACCUUAGUAGUCGUUCUCCGUUUGGAUUCUACUUGUUCCUGCCUUUUCCUGUAUCUCCUAUGACUAUUUCAUGGUGUAUUCGUUGAAUUAAAUUGGUUAUAAUCUAAGUUAGGGUUAUAAUUGGUCGAUUUGAUUGAGUGUAUAUUAUUAUAAUGUCGUUCCCUAGUAGCUUAAGCUUUUAUGGUUGCUUUCAUUUGAUAUCUGAGAAGUUUGAAUCUUUUUAGGUUCCUAGUGUGAUUUAAUUUUCUCUGGUUUAAUGUAAGUUAAAAGUGUGAGGCUAAUUUUGAAUGUAAUGGUUGGAUUCAUUUUUAGGUUUAGUUUGGUAAUGCGGUGGAAGGCCCCCAAAAAUCUAAAAGUAUUUUUAUACUAUGAAGUUGUGGUUGCAACUGCCGCCGGAGAUCCUUGGUUGCAUGCUUCUCCGAUGACGGUCUCCAGUGGUGGUUGCCAGCGCAAUUUUAUACCAAAAGGAGAAAAAAUUUGUAGCGCUUUUGGAUAUUUUUUGGACCUUUCAAAAUAUAAAAGCGGUGGCUUUAGUCACCGCAUUACCAAACUAGGUCUUGGAGACAAACGGUUGUUUCACAUGACAUUAGAGUAGGAGGUCUCGACUUUUGAAUAUUUUUUCAAUUUUCUGGUCUCAUUUCAUCUUCUUUUGUUUUGCUGCAAGUUCACAUUGUGGGCCUAACAAAGAAGUGUCAGCAUCAGGGGUGAGAGAUAGUGUUGAAUAUAAAAUAAUGGAAUAUCUUUCUACAGUAACUUGAAAUUUUAGAGGGCUAAACUUCAAGUUGCUCCCCAAUGGUUUGGCUUAUUUUUCACUUUAUCACCAUGUGAUUCAAAAGUUGCUCUCAACUGUUCUGUGGUUUAGCUCAUUUUCACUUUGCCACCUUGUGGUUCAUAAAGUUACACUUAACUACUCUUUAUCAAAAAAAUUUACUUUGCCACCCUAUUUGAUAGUAGAUUUUUGGAAAAACUUUAAUUUACACCCCUGUGGUUCAGCGUAUUUUCAGUUUGGUAUUCUGUGGUUUGAAGUGUUUCACAUAGCUACCUCGUGGUUUUACUUUUAUCUUACCGUUAAGAUCCGUCGUUAAGUAGGGUAUUAAAUUGAUAAAAUAUAUAAACUACAAGGUAGUAAAUUAAUAUAUUUUACAAACCACAGGGUGGCGAAUUGUAGUAUUGUACUAACCUAUAUUUUUAUAUAGCCAACUUGUAGUUUGCAAAAUAUAUUAAUUUCGUACCCUACUUAAAAAUAGUUCUUAAUGGUGAGAUAAGGUAAAACCACAGGGUGCAAGGUAAAACACUUUAAACCAUAGAGUACCAAACUAAAAAUGUGCAAAAUCCCAGGGGGUGCAAAUUGAAGUUUUUUCUAGAUUUUUUGAAUAAAAAUAGAGAUAAAAUCACAGAAUAAUGAAGUGCAACUUUUUGAACCACGGUAUAACAAAGUGAAAUGAGCUAAACUUUUUUUUUUGGGGGGGGGGGGGGGGGUGCAAAUUAAAGUUUACCAAUUUCAGAGAAAAAAAAUUGUUUCUCGAACUCUGAAAUUAGGGUUGUUUUAAUUGAUAUUGUUUUGGAUCCAGCAGUAAAGAAGCUCUUGAGAUCUCUGAUGAUGGCGAGAGGAGUUGUGGGUGAGAAAUGGUCACAGCGGAUUCUGUGGGUAUGCGCGAUCGGGAGCGCAAUAAGUAUGUGGUCUUUCAUAGGAAAAUUAAUUUUCAUUCCUAUUUCAGAUGAUUUUUUUCAGCAAUUCUUGUGUCUUUCUUUGUUAAUAAUUGUUCGUCUUGAUUGUGUAGGCUUGUACUUUGUGGCCGUGGAGAGGCAGGCGCAGAAUCGGGCGCGAAUGAUGGCCGAGGGUUUGAAGAGUGUGGAUGGCUUGUCGAGCCAUUCCGGUGGUGAGGAUGUUUGAAGGUGAAUGCUCAGCAAUUUAGUUAAAAUCUUUGUCUCGUGUCCUAAUCACUAUUACAAUACAAAUUUUUACAAACAGAAUAAGGAUCAAAGGCGCACUUGUAUAAUAAUUUUUUUUUCCUAAAGGCGCACUUGUAUCUGUUGGGUUUUUUGUAUCAGCUGUUAUUUUAAAUGUUCUCUUAAAUCUUUAUUAGCAGUUUUGAAGGCUAAUUCUAUUUAUAUUGUUGAUGAUACUUGAUACACGAUAGUAUAAAGUAUUUGGAUGCUUACCUUCCGGCUGAACACCAUGUGCCCUGAAACAUGAGGAGGGCUGUCUUCUUUUGUUCACUUACUGGGAACAAAAUUCCUUUAUUGGAAUUGUUGAUGUCUGUUUGAUCACAGAUGUUUUUAUUGUAAGUACGUUGGGCCUAGUCAUUUUGAAGCAAUAUAAAAUCAACUGCUAUUGUAAGUUACACUGCUGGCUUUACUGAAUUCAGAGAGUUUCUAAUGGAUCUGAGGAAAUUGCUGUAUGUUUUUCACAUUGAACUGCUUAGAAGAUAUGAAUAUGGGAAUUGUUUCACACUUUUGGUAGGUAAGUCAAUAAUUCUGCAAAUUCCUCUGUUGUCAUGAGAUAUUUGAUCAUAUGUUUGAAUUGAUUUUCAGUGUUCGGCGUGAAUAAAUUUUUAUUACUAGGACAAGAUGAUCUUAUUUAGAAUUUGAAGAUAUCUUCGAAUUUGUUAUUGAUGGUCAAUAUAUAGUUUGCUCGACCAUGUUAGGAACUCCUGUAAUAUGUACCAUGAUAGAUUAGCUUAGGUAGCAUGAUUUCGAUAUUGUCGGUCAGAACUGUCAAUUAGGAGGCUAUGGACUAAAAUGCUACUGAAAUUCUUCCAGCUUGAUCCUUAAAUGGGUGUCUUGUAAAACUCACCAUUUUCAUUGCGUCAAUUAUCUAGUUCAAUUAUUAUGGGAAAAUCACAAAGGAUAUUCAGGUGAAUGCUAAUUAAUGGGAUUCUACUACUACUUCGCCAUUAUGAAUUUAUGAUAGUUGUUGCAGAACAAAGCGCAGUUGAGAAUGAGAUAUUUACAUAGUGAUUCUCAUGGCUACAAUUUUUUUUUUUUUGAAAAUAAUGGUUGUGUUGUUUAGGAGACUUUGGGUGGAUGUUGCUUUUAUGAGAAAUUAUAAGCAUAUAGAAUCACGAAGAGAUGGUUAAGUGGGUCAUGUUACCCAUUUUACUGAUUUGUAGUGGGUCAUGUUACCCAUUUUACUGAUUUGUAGCAUAUGGGAUGGCAUUUCUGGAUGUCAAAAGCGGUGAUGAGCAUUUGAUUAGUUUUUAAAGAAAAUUAAAUAUUAUUGUAAUUUUUGAAAUGCUAUCCAUUGCAACCAACCUGGAAAAUGCCAACUUCAGAAGCCAAAAAUGUGGAUAUCAUUUCAGUUUGAUUCGUUUAGUUCGUAUGGGUUCUUUCUUUGUUGGUCCUUUCUAUUCAAGUUCUGUCCUGUUUUGUAAAGUUUUCUUUAGUGUGAUAGCAAUGGUGGUUAUGCAGUAUUUGAGUCAGAUUGAGGCUCCUUUACAGUUAUUAUUAUAGCUGUCAAUUUUUGCAUAGAUAAAUAUACAUACUUGAGUUAAAUAUAUGUAAAUACUGAAAUAGAAUAUGGUUUAUUCCAGAUUUCUAUAUAAAAAAAUGGAUAUACAUUGAAAGUUUUUUCCUAUGUGAAAAACAAACCAAAGCAACUUUGUUAGAUUCUUUUAUUGGAUUCGUUCAUUACCUUCAUCAUGCAAGUAUUAAAAUGUCUAGAUAAUGAUAUAACACAAUGAGUUAUGUAAGUUAGGGAGUAGUACCUUUAUGUACGAGAUGAGGUAAACAGAGUGUGAGAAUGCUUUUAAUAACAUGCUUGGACACGGAUGUAUCAACAAAUAUUUUCGCUGAAGUGUGCACGAGGCUUAUUUUAAAUUUUGUUCCCAAAAUGUUGUUAUCUUUAUUUCGCCGCUUCCCGUUUUGAUUGUCUCUCUCAAAUCACGGGGGGUCUUUUUGAUGUUUCUAUGCAUCAUGCUGAAAUAAUUAAGGCUGAUGAUAGUAUAGUUGCGUGAAAACAGAACUGCAUUAUGAUCCUCAUAGUUCUUGGAUAGGUUGGGUUUGCGUCGCUUGAUCAUGCUGUUAUAGCUAGUUUGCAAGUUUGUGUUCUAUAGGGCCAUGUAAGGGGCUGAAUCCUUUCCAUACAAGUGAAAGGAUCUCCAUAUGCUACCGAGUCUUUGAACAAAUUCUGGAUAAAUAAUCUGUGUGUGAUUUUUGAUAACUUGGUAACCCAAUAAGCUAUGUCUUGUGUGCUACCAUUACAUUGAGUGACUGCUACUAGAUAAACUUGCUGGUCGAAUUCCGAACUAAUGUACUUGAGUUCAUCUCAAAACCUUAUGAUUUCUUUGGCUCUUCCUUCUUUGUUGUUUUGACUGCGAUGUAGCUCUUGUCGCGCCACUAAUAUCAUACAAACUAGAAGAUAAGCUGGUUUCAUUAAGGACUAGAAAUGUAAAUUUUUUGUUUUGAAGGCUGUGCCAAUGAAAGGGCAUCAGAUUUGUUAGACCCUAGAGAUGAAUGCGAAUGAGGACAACUUGUUUGGCCUGUUUCUUGGGACAGCUUCUCUACUUCUGAGAAGCUGUUUCUGGAUAUUUGGUGAAUAAAAGAACCUGCAGCUUUUGUUGCGGUGGAAAAGCUCAAAUGAGCUAUGAGGCACUAAAGCCAGAAGCUCCAAGUUGUAGUUUUUACUUCUACCGCAGGAGAACAGUGUUGGAAGGUACUAACCAAAAACCUGAUUUUUUUUUUGGAACAAACUUGAUUCAAACAACAGUUUGGAGGCUUUACUCUCUACAAACAAGAUCGAAAGCAUACGCAUAUUUUCUUUUGUUUUAUAUAUUUGUGCUUAAAUUCUUUAAUAAGUGCUCUAUGUUCUUACUUUGGAGAUAUUAUGGAAUAGUCCUCGUGGAUUGUGGUGAUGAUGCUUUGUGAUUAUAGUUAUUACUCUAAUAACCUUUUCAUGAGACUUUUCGAAUCUAAUAGGAUUCUUGUAAACUAAACAUAUGUCCACAAAAUUAGCUGCUAUCAAUUGUAGAUGGGGUUCUUUAAAUUGACUAAAUGUGCUGUAGCUCUACCAGGAGAAAAAAUUAUAUUGUUAAAGCUUGGAACGAACUUUGUCGAUUUUCACAUAUACACUCUCGGUCGACUUAGGUCUUUCAUUUCAUGUCGAUUUAUAGGUCGGAAUAUAUAUAUAUUUUUUCUGGUGUUAUGUUCUGAGCUUUGUUUUGGGCCUUCUUUAGAAAAAGUGUUGCUCUUUGAUAUUGCUCUCUUUGCUUUGUUUUAUAUGAAUUCUCUCAUCUUCUUGAUUAAUAUGGUGCGAUUCAUCGGACGGUGGAGACUGUAAGUAGAGACAUGUCACAGUAACAGAGCCCUCAUAUGAUGGUCUUUUUAAGAGGAUCUCCUUGAAUGGUUUUUCUCCGAGAUUUCGCGCUUCCCCUACUCAUUUAGCUUCAGUAAUUGGGACAUUGUUCUGUAAAAGCCUCUGCACUGCGAAACUGUGCACUGUUCUACUCUGCAUUGUCUCAUUGUUUUGUAUCUCUCUUCUCCUCUCAACUGUUUCUUUUUCUAUAUUUAGCGUUCUAAUUCAUUUUUUAAUGAAUUCGCAGGUUUAGCUCUGCACUGUUUCUUCAGAAAAAGUAAGUAUUAUCCUCGUUGGUUAAUAACACUAAAUAAUUGUUGGCUAUUGCUCCCAUAGCAGUUAUCAUGCUCUUUUCAUGCUCAUAUUAUUGUAGGGCUGAAGUUUUUAGACAAAGUGAAUGAAGCACUCGAAUGUAUGUACAUUUGCCGAUAAAGACCUAACAAAGGACUCCAUGAUUUCGAUGUAGGAGGUUGCGAACUCGCUGAUCCUUCGAGCUGUUUUAUCCGGUAUGCAAACGGGGCCUAAAUGUUAUGGAUUCUGCGGAUUAGAGUGAUCUCUCAUUGUUGUUACUUAAAUAUAACAUUUUUAGAACAUUGAUUAGGGAACUCGCAAAUGGAAAGCCGAGUUUUGAGAAACCUUGAUGCUCGGACCGGUCGGCCCAUUUUCUGUUCCAAUAAAAUCAUAACAAAGCCCGCAUAAAAACUACCAAGUAAUUGUGGAUCGUAAGCGCUGACCAACGAUCCCAAAAGUAUGCACGGAUAGAAAGGGUACAUCCGUCGCACUCAAAGCUCGGCUGCAAAGCCUCACGGGUUUCGACCUGACUCAACCUAUCUAGACUUUAGGUCUAUUGUUGGGCUUUUUACCGUUAGGUCUAUUGUGGACCGCAAUCCUACUCAACUUAUUAGACUCAUCUAGCUCAAUUUAUUAGUCUCUCGGGCCUAUUGUCAUAGGGUAGUAAGUUGGACCUAUUUUAAUCAAUAAUAAAUAGCCAAUAGUUAGUAGUAUUAGCGACUAAUUACACCUUUCCUUGUUCACACAAGAUGAGCCCAUUUUUCUCAUCCUUUGGCUUAUUUGGUGUUGCUGUAAGGGGUGAUGUUGUUUGAUGAAGUGCUUCUGGAGGAGUGUUGCACUAAACAACUCCUUUUAGGUGCCAUUUGGUUAUAUGUAGUUGCAAUUAUACUGCAGUUGUAACUAUAUGUAAAUACAAAUUUUGUGUUUAGUUUGAUGUAUUUAACUCCAACUGUUGCAGGAGGAACUGCAAGAGGAGACCUAACUGUAGCAGUUCGAACUACGCCCAAAUUGGCCGUAGUUCUAGCUACAGCAGUUAGAGAGAGUAACUUUAAAUAAAAUGUAUGCUUACCUCCUCAGUAUUUUUUAAACAAAAAUUAUUUUUCUUUUUUACAUUGGAGGUAAUCUCACCAUCAUAUAUAUAAAAUAAUAAAAUUUUAAAAAUUAUUUCUCAACCGUAUGCAGCCAAACAAAUUAUUUAUACUUACAGCACUUUCUACUACAUCCAACCAAAUAUGAUUCAUAUAGUUGUAACCAUAGUUAGUUAAUUCGGAUUCGGCAAAAAUUCGGUACGGAUAUUAUACGCAUAAAAUUCGUUUUCUAAUUUUUAAAUUUAUUGAAAAAUUCAGCUUAAAAAACAGAUUCGGUAUAAAAUAUAAAAUAUAAGAUAUAAAAUAUAAGACAAUUUAUAUUUAAAAAUAAAAAUUAUAAAUUUUUUAUUCAUAUUUUCAAUAAUUCGGCAAUAAUUCGCGAAUUAUUCGCGAAUAAUUCGGUUGGCCCAAAAAUUCGCGAAUAAUUCACUUUCUUUGGGAAAAAUUCAUAAACAGACCGUUUAAUUCAGAUUUUCAAUAAUUCGCGAAUAAUUUGUGAAUUUACUAACUAGGGUUGUAACUAUUGUAUUUCCAACUGCAUGCAUAUCUAACUGCACUGCAUUUAUAAUUACAUCUAACCAAACGGUCCCUUAGAAAUUCUCUCUAGAGCCAAAUUAGAAGAUUUAGAUUGGAGUUCUCAUCUUUGGGGCUCAAAACUACCUUCCUGUUUUUCUCUACAGCAGAAGCUAGCUCUAGGCCUUUCCAAUUGCAGAACACUCUUUCAUAUCAGUAACUGCAGCUGAAAGCAAAAGCAGAAGCAAGUUAAACAUGCCUUUUCUCUCCCUAUCUCAAUUGCACCAACCUUUUAGCAAAGCAUGGACUCCAAAAUGGUCAAGCAAAAGAAAGAAAGAAAGAAAAGUUAGAAAAGAAGGUAACAAUUUGAUGCUUUAGUUGUGUGAGUUUCACACACAAGUGGUGCUAAAAUUAUAUGCUAGAGUGUGUAGACUUAAUGAUAAUUAAUUAAUUAAUUAGGUCCUCCCAUUGUAGUGCAUCUCUUUUUUAUUUGGGAGUAGGAGGAUUGUGAGGUAAGGCCCCAUCAUUCUCCUAUUGUCAUCCUCACCACCUUUUCCUCAAUUAAAAAUUAAAAAAAAGCACAAUGUAUCAACAGUCCUUGUAUUAUCCCUAUAUUGUGACUUGGUUUUUAUACUUUUCAUUCGAAUACUUUAGGGGCUGUUUGGUUUAGCAGAAAAGCAUGAAAAAAAAAAAUUUGAGAAAAUUUUUUUCCACGAAUUUUUUUUUUUUUUUUUUUCUUGGUCCAUUUAGUUUCAAGAAAAAUUAGCUUUCUUUAAGAUAGUUUCUUUCCAAAUUUUAUGGAAAAGUAGUGUUUGUUUUUCUAAAAAAGAAACUAGAAAAAGAAAAUAUUAACUUGCCAUGAAAUUUGUUUUUUUUUUUUUUCAAAAAAACUAGUUUUCUUUGAAAUCAAACAGACGGAAAAUUGAAACAAAGAUUUUUUAUGAAAAACUUUUUUUUUGAAUUAUUUUUUUCCUGCUUUUCUGAGGAACCAAACACUCCUUAGUCUCUGAAUAUUAGAAAAAUAUAACAAUUCUUAAAACUUGACCAUUUUAUCUAUUGUAAACGAUUUAUUUCUUUCACCUUAGUCAAGCACGAUUAAAUAUUAUUUUACAACAAAAGUCUGCUUUCGCUUGUAUAAUGAUCAGAAAUUAAGUAUAACAUAUGUGAAAGUUCAAGAAUUAAAGUAUUCAAAUGAAGAGUACAAUGACCAAGGUAUAUCAUACGGGAAUGUUACAAGUACCAUUCACAAAUUUCUUUCCAAAAAGGUAAUAUAUAUAUAUAUAUAUAUAUAUAUAUAUAUAUAUAUAUAGAUGCCUCUUAAUAUAAUCCAUGGGUGGUGGUUAAUUAUGGGCACUCCAAUCCUUCUAAUCUUUUGAUCAUUUCCCACCUUUUCCUUUUCCCUCACUACUAAACCCACAAAGCUAAUGUCAACAUCAACUUGAUCCUAAGCAUCCUAAACAUGAUCUUUGAUCCUUGGACUUUGUUUUGAGCCACCAACAAUAACCACAAACUUUUUCUCUAUUUUUUUUUUCCUCUUUUUUUUCAUAAUUUGAUAAGAUAAUUCCAGGUCGGAAAAGUAAUCGAUACGGUAGCGUGCGGUGCUAAACUUUGUUAAUCAAUAAAAAAGGAGACAAGGAUAGGGGAAUCUUUGUAAUUUGGUUACUUCUUAAUUGCCUUCUGGGUGAGGAUCUUAGGGCCUUUACUUUUGUCUAUUAAUGGCAUGUAACACUAUAUAAAAUGUGAUCAAUAGAAGUAAAGUUGAAAACAUAGAAUAUUCCAAUUUUAAAAGGCAUGGGAGGUUAUUUAUUAAGGGCUUAGAUAGAUCAAUGUAGUACAUUUCUAUUCCAAGGGGCCUUGGAAAAUUUCAAAGAGGCAUUUUGAUUAAUGGGUCAUAAUAAGAUGGAAAUUACCUUUUACUUUGGUGCUUAAAACAUUGAAAACUUAAAAUGAGAUUUUUGUUGUCCACCUUUUUCCCCUAAUUAAAAGAAAUGGAAUUUUGUUGCUAACUAUUGCAAAUUUUUUUUCAAAAGAAAAAAGAAAUACUGAAUAUGAUAUUCACGCAUCUGAAUGGUGUUCUUAAUUAUUAUAGAAUAAACACUUAAGUAAUAUUAAGAAUUUUUCUAAAGAAAAAUUCUAGUCGUACACCCGUCGAAUAGGCAUAAAUUUUAGACCCAAUCUGUCCAAAGGUUAUAUCAACCUUUCGGGUUUUUAAUAUUAAAAAAAAUAUGCUAUAGUACAUUGAAAAGGAAGAUGUAAAUCUUAUCCGCUUUCAUCCAAGGGCUAAUAUUUCACACUUAUCUAUUUUUUUUGUUAAUCCUAAAUAUCUAAAAAUGUUUUUUAAUCCUUUUGGAUUGAAAAGUGUUAGAUAUGUAUCCACUUUUCAGAUGUACAGAUAAUAUUUUUUUAACAAAAGAUAAAAAUAUGCGAAAUUUAUUUGAACUAUGGACUAUUUUGAGUUAACUAUCUAUCUUUACAAAACAUUGAUUUUACUGUCAAUCGUGUAUAAUUUUCAGUCAACGGUACUAUUACUUUAAAAUUUAAAUAAGUUGUCUGCUUUAAUGAAUUUAUAGUUGCUAGAAUAGUAUAAAAUAUUCUAACUAAACUUACAAAGACAAACAAUAUACUCAAAUUUUGAAGUCAAAAUGCCAUUAAUUGACUCUAAUCAAACAAAUUGUCAGAUUGAGUAGUAAAAUCAAAAUUUCGAAAGGUUAGAUAGUCGACUCAAAAUGGCUUAUAGUCUAGAUAAGUUAUGUACAUUUUUUUUUAAAAAAAGUAAAGAAAUGUGUUGUGAAAACCCAAAUUAAGCAUGGUUUGACUUUGCAAAUGAGAGCAAAGGGAGGGAUUAGGAGUUAGGUAAUCCAAGGGAGGAAACAAAACGAAAAAAAGAAAAAAAGAAAAAGAUACAAAGCAAUUAAAAAGACAAACCAAAGAGAAAGAGUGAGAGGGAGAGGAUAAGGAAAGGAGAGGGAGUAGUGGUAAUAAUUACAAUCCAAGGAGACAACAAUCAAUCGCUUGUCACUAUCUCCUGGCAACAUNCCCAGUACUUGUGCUGCAUGUGUGUAACAUAGAGUGUGACAUGACAUGCACUAUAGAAUGUUAUAAAAGGGCUUUAUUUUUUUAGCCAAAAAUCAUUAAGCACCGUUUGGCUCGGGGUUAAGGAAUAGAAUAACUUCUUAAUUCAAAAGUUAUUCACAAACACCUAAUUUAGGAGGUGGGAUUAACUAAUCCCAUCCCGCCCUACUAUUCAAACCAAACAAAACACUAGUUUAUCCACUAUCCUUUUUAUUCCACCUUCUCCAACCAAACACUAUUUUAUCUAUACCUGAAGUAAACUCAAUUCUCAAUCAAAUACAAAAUUACUCUAACUCUACCUUAACCCUGAACUGAACUUAUAACUCUAUUCCUGGAAUAACAAGUUUUUACUUAACCCCGAACCAAACGGUGGCUAAGACAUUUUUUUUUUUUUUUUAGGGAUAUAUGGAUAGAUAUAAGUUUAGGAUUCGUUCUUAAAUAGACUAAUUUUUACGUUUAAAUAAAAAUUGAGUUGUUUUCGAAAAUAAAAAAAAUAGCGUUUGAAUAUAUAAGAUGGAAUAAGAAAAAUAGUGAGUAGUUAUAAAUAGAAAAUAAUGAUAUUGUUCCUUAUAUUUAAAUUUAAAUUUUUAAAUCUUAUAUUUAAAUUUAAAUUUUUAAAUUUUAUAUUUAAAAUUUAAAUUUUAAAUAUAUAACUUUUUAAAAAAAUUCAAAAUAAAAUUUUAAAUUUUAAAUCUCAAAUUAAAAAAUUUAAAGUUCUAAAUUUUAAAUUUAAGAUUAAAUUUAAAUUUUAAAAAUAUCAAAUUUUAAAUUUAAAAAUAAAAAAAUAAUAAUUUAAAAUUAUAAAUACUAAUUUUAAGAUUACAAAUUUUUUAAAAUUUAAAAUUUAAAAUAUAAAUAUAAAUUUAAAAAUAGAAUUGGGGUGGAUUAGUUAAUCCCACCCUAAUUCCAUAGAAAGGUAACCUCACCCUUUUUAGGGUUAUCCCGAAACCCCACCCCUCCAAAAACUUGUUUGGGGCACACGAGAUUCACGUAUUAAUCCGCAUCUAAUAUAUGGUACAAAAUAGUACACAUAAUAAGGUGUUAUGUCAUGACUGUGAAAGGGGUUCAGGUUAGGAACCUGGGCGAUGAUGUGAGAUACGUAUGGAUAAGUGGAUGAUAAGGAAUAAUGCUCAGUUUGCUGGAAACAAAAGGAUUGGACUAAUAGUCAGUUAUUGAGUCAUCUGGACUAUAAGAAACGACGUUAUUUUUAAGUUGACUAAUGCUGACCCUUUAUUAACUGUCAACUUGAUCUGACUUUUGAUGCUUCAGUGGGAGGAGAACAGCUUAUUCAAACGAGCAUAUCCUAGUCCCCGAAUUUAAAUAUUCCUCUUUUUUUUUAGUUUAAAUGUUUUUUUUUUGUUUAGGCCUAGUUCGGAGGUUCCUUACCUCACUCUUGUAGUUUAAUUUAUUUCUUUAAUGAAUGAAGCAUGUAGCGUACUACGUAUACCUUUCUCUCUCAAAAAAAAAAUGGCGCAAAAAAAUUAUUUUCUAUAAUAAUAAAGCUAUUGAAUAAAGAUUUAGAUCUCUAUAAUAUAUACAUGUUAUGGUUAUAUUUUGUAUCUAACAUGAAUCUAUUAUUCUUAACACUUAUUACAUCUAAAAUCUUUAUAGGAGACAUAUACCACGUACUCAUCAAGUUUUGUUGGUGGAUUUGUACCCAAGUUAUAUGUUUUAAUGGACCCUACUCCCUAGCUAGCUACUAUUUUGGCUCAUGUUCAAAAUUCCAGGUUGAAAUAAAUUUAAUUAUAGACACAAAAAUGGAGGUUCUAAUUGAAAAUUUUGUAGUUUGGUUUUUGAUAUUUGAAUUUUACAAUUAGAUUUUAAAUAUUUCUUAGUUAUUUUAAUCAAAUUUUUUGUAAAUUUUUAAUCAAAAAAAGUUCGUCGCCUUAUACGUUAUUAAUGCUAACAGGUUUUUGACAAAUUAAGGGAAUUGAUUAAAAUAACUAAAACAUAAUAGAGAUCUAAAUAUUAUAGCUAAUGGUUAAAAUUGAAGGUGAAAAAAAAAAAUUCAAAUAACGAUUAGGAACUAAUGAAGGUAUGCAAUUUAUUCCAUUUGAAUAAAUAAGAAUUAAUGUUAGUGACACUUUUACAAGUUUCAACAUCUUGUUGGGUCUAUGCCAUCGUGGGGCCUUAAUAAUAGAAUUAAUAUUUUAACCUAUACUUAGAUUUGAUUUGAUAUGGAUAUAUAGUAGUUGCUCAGUGUAGGCUUAUCAAUUCAGAUUUGGAUCUUCUGUGGUCCAAGAAUUAAUCCGACCUUUUAAAAAUCAUUUAGUUUUAAGGAUAUAACUAAGUAUAUAUAUAAGAACUAAGAUUGUUAAUUAUCUUUUUAAAAAAUAAAUCAAUCAAUAAAUAAUAUAAAUAAGCUUCUAAUUAAUACUACGUACUUCAAACCGGCCGUCCCUAGAGCAAGUGGCAAAGACAUUGGUGGUCGGUACCCGAGACAUAAGUUCAAAUUCUAGUUGAUUCACAUUUCUAGCUAAGUUUAUUUCUAAAUGAAAUAAAUGAAGUGGAUAGCGUGCUACCUAUCUCUAAAAAAAAAAAUAAAAAAAUUAAUACUACUUCAAAAGGUUUCUAGUGCAUCAUAUAUAUGCAAGUGCUAUGUAUUUAUCAUCAAACUAUCUGUGAAUAUUUUAAGAUAAAGAAAUCAAAUUAACAGUUUUCUAAUGUUGUUUAAUUAUGUGAAAAUUUUCAAUUAAACUCUUAAUAAUCCUGUCCAAAAUCCAUUACAAUAGUCAUGUGUAUAUUUAAUUUUAAUUAUUUAGCUAAAUUAUAAAAAAAAUUUCUGUAAAUACCUAUUUUUUACUCUCCCUCCCUAAUUUUCAAAAAUCUAUAUUUUACCCCCUCAACAUUUCAUAUCGUUGCAUUUAGCCUCCCUCCGUCAGUAUUUUAUUACUAUUCCAUCAAUUUCUUAUAAUUUAUACCGAAAUAUCCUUAAAAAUGAUAGAAAUAUAUUAAAAAAUUAUUUUUCUUAUAGAAAAAAUAAGAGCAAUUUGAUCAUUUAGCCUUCUCCAUUAAUAUCGUACUCCUCUAAAAAUAUUCUAAAAAUUUAAGUGGGAAAAAUAUAGGUUUUUGAAAGUUAGAGAGGAAAAGUGAAAAAGCAGAUAUUUGUAGGGAAGUUUUCUGUAAUUUAGUGUAAUUAUGUUUUGCCCAAUUUUGCCCACCUUAGUUAUUAAAAUCUGGUUUCAUUCGAUCGAGUUUCAUUUGGUUUAAUUUGUUCAAUUCUCUCAAUACACAUUUACGUAAUUUCAUUAAUUAUAUAUGAUUCAUCUCAAUACACAUUUUUUUUCUCUCUCUCAAUACACAUUUACAUAAACUCUUUUUCAUCCUAGAUAAUUCGAUUUGAGAAUCCACACCUUUAAAUAUAUUCAUUAAUUAUAUAUGAUUCAUCUAGAAUAUUUUAAGUCUCCAUUAUAUAUAUUCCAUGUUUUUCUAACAUUUUCUAUGUACUAAUCAAAAUAUCUUAAAUCGAUAAUUUUAUUGGCCGAUAUGAUGUAGAUUAUUAUUUUAUUGUAGAAUAAAAUCAUUAGUUUGAUCUUCAAUAUUUAAAGAACUCUAUCAUCAAUUUUUAUAUGAUCAUUCAAUUCAAACUGUUCGUAAUGUAGCAUAUACAAAAAAAAAUUAAAAUAAUUUUAAAUUCUAAAGACUUUUAAUACUCUAAAUUAUAUUUAGCAGCAAGGGUGAAUGAUAUAUCCCGAAGCCAUAUUAUCAAAAAUAAACUUUAGAAUACGAUUGUACUACACUAAUAAUUUUUAAGAAUUAUAACAUUCUAGAGAUUUAUAAUACUCUUAAUCAUAUUUAGCACGAGUCCAGCUAUUAUACUCUUAGGAAUAUAGACCCUUUUGUAUUCAUAAGUUUUCGGCCGUUAGAUCUACCCCUUUGACUAUUUCCACUCGUUAGAUUAUAUUAUUCAACUAACCACCCAUUCAACCCUAGAAGACCACUAUUAUCCUAACCGCACAUCACUUCAUUCAACGACUGAAAAUUUAUGAGAAUUUAUGAGUACUAAAGAGUCUUAUAAGAGUAUAGUAAACCUAGGCUAUAUAUUUAACAGUAUGGAUUAAUGAUUCGAAAGCUAUAUUAUCAAAAAUAAUAUCUAAGAUAUAUACUACAACAAAAGCGGUCUAUAGCGACACUUUUAAAUAUCGGUACAGGUUAAAAAAAGUGCUGCUGGCUAAAUUACCGACACUUUUAAAAAGUAUUGCUAUAUGUGGGGUCGCUAGGUAUAUAGUGACAGUUAAAGAGUGUCGGUAUAACCUAAAAAGAGUGCUACUAAUUUACUAACACUUAUUCAAGCAUUUAGCAACCGCCGGAACUCUAUCUCUUUGUCUGCGGUGGCGGAGGAUGAGGAGAGGAAAGAGACUCUUCGUCUAGGAUUUCAGUGGAUUGAGUGAGGGAAGAAGGGAAGAUGGUAAUUAAUUUUUCUUUUUUUUUUCUUUUUUGUUGUAAUCGUGCUGAAUGGGCUGGAUGGGGUGGGUUGAGUAGAGUAACUUUUUAUUUUUGGUUGAAUUGGGCUUUAUAUUUAGACAUUAGUAGAUUUCUUUUUAAGUUUCGGUAUAAAUGGGACACUUACACAAAAGUGUUCCAAACAUGUGUCGUUAUAACCUAAUUCUGUUGUAGAUAUACGAUUGUCUAGAUACUGUUAACAUCACCAUGACUGAAGUCUAUCUAUAUUAUUAUUAUUAUUAUUAUUAUUAUUAUUUUGUAAUACUCUGAAUAAACAUGCAUGUAUCAGUAACAAUGUCCCUCCCCGACCGUUUGGUUUCUGCAGUUCACUUUUUUGUUAUUGAAAAUAGUGUAGUCAUUCACUUUAUAGUUAAUAUAUAUUAAUUUUUUAGGUACAUUAAUAUUUUUUGGUCUUCAAAAUGUAAAGUACACACUUUAGUUCUCAAAUUUUAAUUUAAUUUAUUAUAACUUCUUGCUUGAACCUUUUAAAUUGUUAUAAUAUAUCAAGUCUUACAACGAAAUUUAGUUGACCAAAUAUUAACUUAUCUUAAUCUAAAAGUGGUAUACUUUAACGUGUUAUUAAUCAUAAUGCUAUUUUAUUAUUUCCACAUAAGCAACACAUCAAUAUCUAGUAAAAUAAAUUGAGUUGUGAGGUUGGAUUAUAAUAAUUGUACGUAAAAGAAUUAUAAUAAAUCAAAAAUUGAGAACCAAAGUAUCAAGCAAUUUAUAGUUUGAGAUCAAAAGUGUACUAUUUAACCUAUAAUCUUUCUAGUAUACUUAAUUAAAUGUACAUGUUAAUAGCUAAAGUAAAAGCAUCCUUUUGACGGAUUUGAAAUCCAUGUAUUUAUCCAGUCAUCUAUUGUGUGUCAACAAGACUAAAAUAAAAAAAAAAAAACAGAAAAAAAAAAAAAACAAACAAGACUAGAGUUAGGGUUUGGUGCAGUUUUAAGCACAAAUAUUAAUUACAACCAAACUCUUUUUUUUUAAAUUUUUUUUUUAUUUUUAGUUUUACAAGCCAACUGGAAUAAACCAGUUGACAAACCAAACCAAUUGAACAAAAUUAUUGGCUUUGAUUCCGUUUAACAAAGUGGUUACAUGUGUAACUCAAAAACUGAGUAUUUUUCUAUAAGAAAGUGUGUGUGUUGUAUAUAUAUAUAUAUAUAUAUAUAUAUAUAUAGAGAGAGAGAGAGAGAGAGAGAGAGAUAGAGAGAGAGAGAGAGAGAGAGAGAGAGAGAACUAGGCUAGAAUACUAUUAAUAGCAUAAGUUAUUGGUGCUAUUAAGUUUUCGGCCUUUGGAUAAAGCAAUGUGUGGUUAGGAUGAUAGUGGUUUCCCAGUAUUAAGUGGGCGGUUUGUUGAAUAAUAUAAUCUAACGGAUAGAAAUGGUCUAAGAGGUAGAUUUAAUAACAAAAAACUUGGUAGCACCGAAUGUUUAAUGCUAUCGAUAGCAUUGUAGCCUGACAAUAUAUAUAAGUUAUACCACUUAAUAAUCAAUCGCAAAAUAUAGAUCCAUGCUUGAUAUUAAAAAGAUAAAAAUGUAUAAAACUAACUUGAACUAUCGAUCAUUUUGAUUCAACUAUCCAACCUCUCAAAAUUUUAAUUUAGUACCAAACUUUUUAAUUAUUAAUUCGAUUUAGAUAUUUGAUGGCUCUUCGGGUACAAAUUUAAGCUAAUUGCUUACAUUAAUGAAUUUAUAGUUACAUCAAUUGCAUAAAAUAUUCUAGUUAAAUUUGUAAAAAUAAAUAACACAUUCAUUAAAUUUUAAGUUAGAAAGUCACUUAUUAGCUCGAUCAAAUCAAACAAAUUAAAAAGUUAGAUAGAAAAAUUAAAAUUUUUAAAAGUUAGACGGUCAAAUCUAAAUAGAUUAUAGUUAAAGUAAAUUAUAUAUAUACAUUUUAACCAAAAACUAACUGGGGUGCUUCUAAUAGCACCAAGCACUUGGCGCUACCAUCUCUUUGACAAUUUUUAUCCGUUACAUCAUACUAUUUAACCAACCAUCCACUCAAGCUAGAGUAUUAUUAUCAUUCUAAUCACACAUCCUUUUAUUCGAGGGUUGAAAAUCUAAUAGAAUCAAGCACUUAGUACUAUUAAUAGUAUAGUAAACUAAUUAUAUAUAUAUAUAUAUAUAUAUAUAUAUAUAUAUAUAUAUAUAUAUAUAUAUAUAUAUAUAUAUAUAUAUAUAGUUGAGCUAGAAUACUAUUAGAAGUACCAAUUCCUUGGUAGUGCUUCAAAGUUUCUAGCCAUUGGAUUUACUCCUUGAUUACUAAUAGCUUUUGGAUCAAAUACUAUUCCACUUACCACCACCUAUCACUAUCAUCUCAAGCUCACAUCUCUCCAUUGGAUGGCUAAAAACUUAAAAACGCCAUCUUCAUGCAUAUGGUGCUUUUGAGAGUAUUCUAGCUCAAUUAUAUAUAUAUAUAUAGAGAGAGAGAGAGAGAGAAUAAGGCUGGAAUACUAUUAAUAGUAAAACGCUCUUUUUGCUAUCAAGUUUUUAACCCUUGGAUGAAAAAUUAUAGGGUCAGAAUGAUAUUAGUCAGUUAGGGUUGAGUGGUCUCCCUAGGGUUGAGUGGUCCCCAUUGGGUUAUAGUAUUUAAUCCAAUAGUUAGAAAUAAUAAAAAGAGUUGAUCCAAAGGCUAAAAAACGGGUAGCAACAAUAGGAUUUUACUACUAAUAGUAGACCAGUCCAACUCAUAUAUAGUUUGACUGGGCUACUAUCGGUAGUAAACUGUUCGGUUUACUACCGAUUUGUUUUUUAUGAUAGAACUUUCAAAUCGACGAUCGGCACUGUUGAAUAUGAUCUAGACCAUUUAAAUUAUCUAGAAAUCAAAUUUCAUGAUUUUUUGGCAUCACUAACUGAACGAUCAAAGGGUCACAAAAUCUAUAAUUUUAAUGGCUGAUAUGGUGCGUUUGCUCGUUUAACGGUAUAGAAGAGUUCAAAUCAACUAAAUUUUUGUUAAAAAAUUCUUUAAACUAUUUAAAAUAAGAUCUAGACUCUAGAUCUCAAAUAUAAAAAUUGUUUCAUCACUUUUUGAAAGAUAUUCAUUUCCAACCAUUCAUUUUUCUGUUCACUUAAUGGACAAUAGAACAAUAUCGAAAAUAUGUAAAAUUUGAUUUCCAGAUAGUUUAAAUAGUUUAGAUCAUGUUUAACAGUGCCGAUCAUCAAUUUAGAAGCUCUAUCAUCGAAAACAAAUCGGUAGUAAAGCGAGCCGUUUACUACCAAUAGUAUUCUAGCAAAACUCUCAAUAUAUAUAUAUACUUUUAGAAGCACCAACCCUUGGUGCUUCUAAGUUUCUAGUCAUUGGAUCUACUCCUUAAUUACUAACACCCCUUGGAUCAAACGCUAUUCUACCUACCACCACCUACCAUCAUCAUUUCAACCCUACAUCUCUCCAUCCAAUGGUUAAAAACUCAAAAACACAUUUGAGAGUAUUCUAGCUCAACUAUAUAUAUAUAUAUAUAGAGCUAGGCUGGUAUACUAUUGGUAGCACGGAGGCCUCUGUGCUACCAAGUUGUUUUCAAUGAUGCGGCUUCCAAAUCGACGAUCGGCUCCGUUAAACUUGAUCUACACUAUUAAAAGUAUUUNAUAUAUAUAUAUAUAUAUGUAAAAAUAAUUAUGAAAACUAAACUUGGUUAAAUUUAAAACCGAAUCAAACUGAAAACUAAUUAAACUGAUCCAAAACCCAUAAUUCGCAUUGGUUCAGUUUGGUUUUCGGUUUGUAAUCAAACAAUAAACAUGCCUACAAAAUUAGGGUUUUCAUAUAUACUAUGAUACAUAUUUUCACAUUCCUUUAAUUCCUUUCCUGUCCUCUUUCAUCUUGACUUUAGGGAGUCAUGGGAUGGCCCCUGGACUUUUCUUGGAAGGUGUUGGGAAUUGGGUGUAGGAGUGGUUGAGGAGAUAUGUUGAUGGGAUAGUGAUGAGAGGAACUGCCUUUUUUUUUCUUUCUUUUUUCUUUUUUUUUUUUUGAGAGGGAGAGAGAGAAGUGUACAUGUUUAGGUACUGAGUCAUGGAGAUUGAAAAGUAACAAAACACUGAGGAAGUAAAAGUUGAAGAAGAUCUUAGAAAAGCCAUCUUUCAGAGAACCAAUCUUGGUUUCUCUUUAAAUAACAAUUAAUAUAUAUAUAUAUAUAAAUAUAUAUAUCCUGAUCUCCAUCAAUUCUAUCAGAUGUCAAUUUAUGUAUACAUAUAUAUAUAUAUGGUAGUAAGUAGUGUUGCGACUCCUAUGCCAUCUCUUCUGAGUUUAAGUUCUCUCUACACGAGUGGGGUUUGUGGAGAAGCUUAUCAUGUAUUGGCCCUAAUAUGAGAUUUGAGGUGAGAGAAAAAGGAAGAAUGAUAAGUAUUGGGGGAUCUUUUUAUGGCCAAGUCUCUAGACAUGCUCUCUCUAUCUGUGGCCUCUUUUGGACCUAAUACUUUGUUUGGUUUGGUAUUAUAAUUAAUAUCACUCUUUGGUCCCCACGUGUUAUUGAGUGUGUUCCCUUUCCCUGCCUUGAACUCCACUCAAGAAGAAUACACCCCCUCUACUCUCUCUCUCUCUCUCUCUCUCUCUAGUUUUUGUUUAUUGUUUUCGAAUACUUGAAACUUUAUUUAUGCAAGGUUAUCUAUUGGGUGAGGGAAUAGUAUUAGAUUGGCAGACCAUAGUAAUGGGUCGGUGCUCAGAUAUAUAAGUAAGCUGUAGAGAGAGAGAGAGAGAGAGAGAGAGAGAGAGAGAGAGAGAGAGAGAGAGAGAGAGAGCCAACAAGGAGGAGGUUCAGUAUGAAAAGGGUGGACUUUUGGAGCAUGUCAUAUCAAUGCAUUUAAUGCUAGAGAGGUAAAAUGUGAGCAGCUUUCAUUUGUUUGUUCCUUGGUUGAGGCAUUUUUUAUUUAUUUUUUUCUCCCUCAGCUCCUUUUAUUUCACUCACUUCCUUGCUGUUACUUCUGUUCCUUCUACAACCCCUCUCUCUCUCUCUCUCUCUAUCUCUCUCUCUCUCUUACUUUUGCUUGAUUCAUUGCCCUGCUUUGUUGAUGCAUUUCAGAAGAUAGAGAGAGAAGCUACUGCAGAUUCCUUUGCUGUUUUGGGGAUGAGAGCUCUUCAUUUCCCACAAGUUAUAGUAAGACUUCUCCCAGUCCCUUUUAGGUUUGUUGGCAUUUGAAGCAUAUAUAUAUAUAUAUAUAUAGAGAGAGAGAGAGAGAGAGAGAGAGAGAGAGAGAGAGACCCACAUCAUCUUUCUUGUGAAGAUAUAUAUAUUACUCAAUACACAGAUCUUUUUCUUCACCAUCUGCUAUUCAGUGCCUGCUUGAAGAGGCUAGAGAGAGAGAGAGAGAGAGAGAUAGAGUUAGAGAGAGAAGCAGCAAGGGAUCUUUAUUAAUUAAUUGGUCCAUAUAUAUAUAUAUAUAUAUAUAUAUAUAUAUAUAUAUAUAUAUAUAUGAUGAUGAUGAUGAUCAUGAGGUGGUGAUGAUGAUGAAGAGAGGCAGGUUGUGAGGGAGGAGGGGCAAUUUCCUUAUCUGGGGGUAUGUGUGUAUGUGUGUGUGUGUGUGUGUGUGUGUCUGAAGGGUUCUGAAACAUUCCAUCCAUUUGGCAAAGUAGAGAGAUGGGGUUAAUUUUACUUCCCCGGGCCUGCAAUAUUCCAUUUGUUUGCUAAUGGGUUGUACCCAGAUGCCUUUUGGGCUCCCCUUUGAUGUGAGUGUUCAAUGGUAGAGAGAGAAAGUGGUGCAUGAUGGUGGCUGGUUUCAUCCAUAGAGAGAGAGAGAGAGAGAGAGAGAGAGAGAGGAGGAGAGGGUUUACUUGUUGUAACAGUCUCUUUUUUAACUGACAACAAGGGAGAGGGUUGCAAGGAAGUUAUCUUGGAGGCCAUCAAUGAAGAUCCCACAAGGGGACAAAACAAAAGAUGGUUGGAGCUGGAGUUAGAGUUGGGUGUGUGUAGUCUCUAUUCACCCAUUAAAAGCUUUGCGUGUACAAGAUCCCUUAUAUAUAUAUAUAUAGAAAGAGAGAGAGAGAGAGAGAGAGAGAGAGAGAAAAGAUAAUUAUUAGCAAGAGGGAAGUGAGAGAAAACUUUGAAGAUGAAUAUAAAUA